GACGGCAGCGGACGCCGUCAACAGCUGGGUGGGGGAGAAGGAUCUGUACGACUACGACAGCAACAGCUGCCUGGGGUCGUGGGACUCGUGCCUCCACUACACGCAGGUGAUGUGGAGCCGCACGACGGCGAUCGGCUGCGCCCGCGUGGACUGCGACAACGGCGGCGUCUUCAUCACCUGCAACUACAACCCCGCCGGCAACUUCCAGGGAGAGCGCCCCUUCGAGCGUGGCCUCACUCUCUCUGCUUAAUAAGUUAUUAAUACAGUAUUUACUUUAACUAUGUAUGGAGUAUGAUAUAAAUGUGCGAAAUAAUAAUUACGGGGAUCUUAUUAUAUAUAUAUGUACGUUGUCGUUCGAAUAAAAGAAGAAAAUAAAUGAGAAAAUUAAUUCCAUUGUCUGCAUGUAAUUUGAAAGGACGACCAUACAAUCAGAGACUGGGUGGUGCUGUGGUGGAACAGUCCUAGUGGCCUGUCCAGGGGAAACUAAUUAAGAAUUGAUUCUUAGAAGCAGCUGGUUAGUAGACAACUUUUGAGGAUCUGUAAAAGUUGGUUUCCCAGCUUCUAAUUUCUUGUUCAUUUUCUGAAUUCUGGGCCUAUUUGGCAUAGUUCCAUCACCAGCUCCACCUCUCCUAAAACUGGAGCUCAGCCAAACAGUUUCAGCUCCACCUAAUAGCAGCGAAGCUGGGUGGAGCGCUCUCAUAAAAUGAACUAGAGAUGUGGAGCUGUGUUUAGUCAGCUCCACAACUCCACUUCAGACCCAACUACUGGAGUUAAAUUUAGAAGUUGGAGCUCUACCAUGCAACUAUAGCUUCUCAGAAUCUGUACCAAAAGCUAUACUGUUUGGGGGGGAGUUUCUGAUUCUGGGAAAAGCUGCAGCAGCUGGAAGCUCCCCCAAACAGGCCCUAGGUGUCUAUUUGGGAAAAGCUUUUAGCAGCUGCAACUUCUCUCAGAAUCUUUAACUCUCCCUAAACAAUUUAGAUUGUCAUUCACAUUAUAAGAAUUUGUAGUAGAUAUAUAAUUCAGAAAAUGAACUAUAACAAAAAUUUGGAAAACUAACUUUUUCAUAUUCUCAUGAACUGAGAACAAAUCUGUUAAUUCUCACAAUUUUAAGCUCUACCAAAAAGAAUUGAACAUCUGGGCUGACCUAUGGUGGGAAACUACCAAUUGGGGCUAAGUUUGAAUAGGCUUCAUCUGGUCCAACGAAUUACAGCCCACAAACAUGCAUGUAUGAGCUAAUAUUUCAAGCCUACAUAGAUGGGCUGGCGAUGAGGCCCAUCUAAUGCCUUCAUCAGGCUAGACUUGAAGCCCGUGAGGAUAGGGUGCGAAACUCCUAUGGCACGAUUGAUUGCUUGGGGCGAUCGGUUCCUCUGCCCUACGCGGUAUUUUUUUUUUGGCACCACUUUACUUUUCUGUUUUACUAAGUUUAUACCCCCGAAGUUUAUACCUAUUAAGUUUACACAUCUAAAGUUUACAUACUUAAAGUUUGUUGACCUAAAAUUUGUAAGUCAAAAGUUUAUAUAUCAGAUUCAAGUUCAUCUUUAAAUGUAUUUAAAUUUAAAUUCAAAUUUGAAUCGGUAUAUAAACUUUUGACCUAUAAAAGAUGUGUAAACCCUAUAAGUAUAAACUUUAGGUAUAUAAACUUAAAAAAACUAUAUGGUGAAAAAAAAAGAAAAGUGGUGAAAAAAAAACUAUAGGGUGUCCAUGUAAAUCGAUCCCAAUAAAAGCAUCAAGGAAGCUCAUAGUGUAUGCAAAGUAAGGGAAAACCUAAUUUUGUAGCUAAGAAAAAAAUAGCUUUAGCUAUAUGGCCGAGGGGUAAAAUAUUAGAGUGCUCAUUACUAAUUUACUUCUUGACAUUACCAUAUACCUUGAAAAAUAACUACUAGUACGUACGUACUAUUUAGAGUUCAAUUUGUUUGUUUGAAAGUUUGUGAAGUGAUACUAGAUAUUGAUCUAUAUUGUUAAUUAUUUUUCAACAAAAUAUAUGAUUAUUAUUUGGAUUGACAUUUAGUUAAGCAACAAGCUGGGGACAUAUUCCUAUAAGAGACAAAGUUAUUAAUAUUUCUCCGCAAUUUGAUAAAUUAAUAUCGACAUGCUAUGAUGUCUGACCUAGUUAGACAUACGUGUAAGAAUUGGUCAGUGGGAAAUCGAUUACUAAUCAAAAUAAUCAAGUGGAUCAAAUUAAGUCGAUCCGGGCAUGUACUUGUUGCUGAUGAACGUCACAGGGUAGAAAGGAAGAAAACACGGCAGGAAAGCAUGGUUACCCAUAUUCCAAUGGAUGCACCCACCUAUAUAUAUAGCUACUAGCCAGUGCACGUGUAACUUUAUUUUUUAUGAAAAAAAUAGUGAUCAAAGAUAGAAUAUUUUUUAAAGUUCGACCACAAAUUUAUGUAAAAAAUUAUCAAUAUCUAAAACACUAAAUUGGUUUUAUUAAAUAUAACAUUAAAUAUAUUUUAAUAAUAUAUUUGUUUUCUGUUGAAAAUAUUACUAUAUAUUUCUGUAAACUUAAUCAAACUUCGAUUUUGAUAAACACCUGGCGAUAAUAAAAUCGACAAAUAUAUGCAGGAUCAGGUGACUAAAAUCAGACAGCUCUUUAUUUAUUACUACCUCCAUAUUUUAAUGUAUGACGCCGUUGACUUUUUGUCUAACAUUAGACUAUUCGUCUUAUUCGAAACAAUUAUGUAAUUAUCAUUUAUUUUAUUGUGACUUGAUUCAUCACCAAAUAUUCUUUAAGCAUGGCAUAAAUAUUUUAUAUUUGGAUAAAAAUUUUGAAUAAAACGAAUAGUCAAACGUUGGUUGAAAAAUCAAUGGCGUCAUACAUUAAAAUACGGAGGGAGUAAUUUGUAAUAAAAAUACACACCGGAUACAUAUAUAUCUGUAUUUGUAGAUACUCAAUACGUCUGCAUCAUGACGUACUUAUUGCAUCCAACACACUGAUCAUGCAUACGCAUGCAGAUCGAUGUGCGUACAUAUAUACAUACGAACAUACAUAGUAGUUCGUACAUAUAUGCGCAUAUAUAUCUACUGAGAGCAGAAAGAUUUAUACGUACAAUAUAUACUAGAGUAGUAGCAAAAUAUAUUCCAUAGCAUAUACGUUACGUACGUACGUAUACGUAUACGUAUACGGUAGCUAGUACGGCCUCUGGUUUUGGACGUUGCCGGCGGGGAAGUAGGUGCAGAUGAAGAAGACGCCUCGGUUGGCGUUGCAGGCGACGGCGGCGCAUCCGACGGCGGUGGUGUCGCGCCACACGACCUGCGUGUAGUGGCCGCACAUGGCGCCGCCGACGCAGCUGUUGCUGGCGUAGUCGUAGGAGCCCUUCUCCGCCACCCACUGGUCGACGGAGCUCGCCGCCGUCCACGCCUGCACGGAGGGGUUCCACGACAGGUUCUCGCCGUACUGAUAGUUGUUGCGAUCGGAGUGCCGCAGCGCGCAGUCGCCGGCGCGCUGGUUCGCGUAGCCCUGCGCGUACGCCGCCAGGUUGUCGUCCCACGACAGCGCCGGGACGCCGACGGCGCUCCGGGCGGCGUUGUGGAUGUUGACGAUGUCGGUCGCCGUGGUCUGGGCCUGCGCCGUCGAUGUGGUGGCCAGAACCACCGCCAUGGCCGCCAUCACCACUGCAAAGCUCGCUCCUCUCUCCAUUGCAAGCUCGCAGUUGAUUUGAUUGGCAGUGUACGUUCGAUCGACUGCGCAAUUAGAGUAGAACUAGAGCUAUAGCUAGCUAGUAGAGGUGAUGAUUAAUACAUGCAAUUUCGGCAGUAUUUAUAGACGGGCUGGCUCUCGAUCGAGCCAUGGACUUAAUUAAGCACAUGGCAAAGAAGAAACGGUAAACGUUGAUACGGCGGACUGGUCCCUAAUUAUUAAGAGAAAGAAAUGGGAGAAGAGCUGAAGAGGUGAUAAGACCAGAAAGUCAUGAACAAAGCACUCAUGGGAAAGUGGAUAAUAUGCGUGGCAAAACUUGUUACUACAGACCAAAUUCUCUUACCCAGAAUGUCUGAAAAUUCUUCAAAUCGGGUGCCCGCGCCUCCGCGCCGAAAAAAAUGGGGCACCGCGCCUCCGUCCACCACGCGCCCCACCACACGCACUGUUGCAAUAAAUCUGCCACAUAUUACGGAAACACUCUAUUAACAGGAAUCCGUUUCAUUUUUUUUUCACCAAUAAUGUUUCAACAAGUAUAUUCGUAUUGUUACACUAUGUAUAGAUCAAAUGUUGCAGAGAAUUGAAACAUCCUUUCGCUAUUUGCUGAAACAUUAUUUUUAUAUGCGGUGAAAUAGCUUCAAAAACCGUUGUUUCAUGCGCUGUAGCAAAAUGUUUUAUGAGGUGAUUUGGUUGUAUUUAAGCUUUUUAAACGAUUGGACCAUUUUCAAUCAACGUAGUGAAACAAUUCCGAUCUAUUUGGUGGAACAACCCCGAUUUUUUUAAAAAAACGGGUGUCCGAUUUAUAUACGCCUCGCCAAAAUGUGUAAAAACAGGAGUGGGAUGGAGUCGAUCAGCUAGGAAAGGAUGUGUCAGAUGCUGGAAACUUUUAGCGCUUCCCAAAGAACAAUACUCUAUGCCUAUUAAAAUACAAAAUAUUUUUUUGGGCAACUAGAACUUAUUUUGAUGGAUGAUUUCUCGAAAGAGCCGUAUGUGAAAAUUAACUUGUACGCGGGGUCAUGAAAUUCGUACCCCAUGCAAAUCCUUAAUUUUUAUAGGCCCUUGGUAGUACAGUUGAUCGAUUCAAAUAAAUGCUGCCGAAAAUAGGUUACGUUUUCUUUACCAGAGUUAAGUAAUUGAGUGAUCAAAGUAGCAGUAAUAUUCUACUCUUUUAUUAAAAUCGGAGGUGUAGUAUGUAAACACCACCUGUUGAUGAGGACAUCACUUCGUCGGAUACGCUCGUAACUUCACACGCUCCAAUAAUAAUUUCAAGUCCAAGACCAGUUCGGCCUCCGGAGACAGCACUGACUUCAAACGGACCUAGCGCCUUCAUGCUAUCUCCGAUUUGGGUGAUCUUGGACUUCGUGGAAAUCUUAUCUCGCUACCUUUCAAACGCAUCCGGUUUCAUGUCCAAAUUCAUCUCGAGUCAACGGGAAUCACCAAAAUAAGACAGUGCUGUUGCUGAAACCGAACUUGGGCCUUGGGCCUUGUAAUAGACUAGGCCCAUCCCGGAAGUGUCUCCCUCCACCUCCACAAAUUAGCACUUAACCCUAGCUUUAUUUUCCUCUAUAAAUAACUUUGUAUAUCCUCAAAAACAAUUGGGUUUUGUUUAGUUGAAUUUUGCCAAGUGCCAUUCACCUUGUCUCUAGUCCUCGCUCGAUUAGUCGGCGACUAUAGAUUCAGAGCCCCCAAUAGUUGGUGUGUUGAUUUGCCGGGUCGAUUAGAUCUACCACUUCAAUCGCAACUAUUCCUUUGUGCUUAAUUCCCUAUUUGCAAUAUUUAGAUUGCAUCUUAUCUUGUUCUUGCAGUGUUCUCUCGUUUGCAUUGCAGGGAUCAUCAACCGCGCGUCACGGUUGGUACGACAUCGUUUGUGGUGUAGCGAUUGCACGGCGUCCUGGAUUUGUUCUGGUUGGUAGCCACAUCGCAAACGUCGCACUCGAUCAAAGCGAGAGUUAUCCCCCUCACCAGAAGAUCGGGCCACGAGAGAGAGCGUCAUCAGUUGGUAUCAGAGCUUCAGUUGCUUGGUGAGGAUUUUAGUUUUGUAAUUUUUUUCCCAUCGUCUACCAUACAGCCGCAAUAUUUUUUUCCAUCACCAAACUUUAGUUUGAGCCUUUCAAAUUUCAUUCAGUAUUGUGUUCUUGAGUUUUGGUCCAUUGUCGUGUCGAAAGUGCUGGUUUUAGUCGUAGCUCAGUCUGAGUUUUGAGCUUUGCAUUUGGUCGUCGUCGUCUCGGUUGAGCAGUAGAUCGGUUUGAGAGAAAAAAAAUCCAGAGUUUCUGUUGGGUGAGAUUUCUUUCCAGUGCAUGCAUGCAUGGAAUCGCGGUACGUGGUUACCAAAUAAAUAGCGCCUCAAAUCAGGGACUAAUCUUGGUUAUUUCCUAGUUAGUUUCUGUGUCUAUCCGAAGUGCAUGUGCCAAGGAUCGGUUUCCAUAUUCCUGGCACCACCCAAAUAGGAGGUACGUAGUUUUCUCUGUAACUACACAUUCACACGCACAAGCACCUGGUUGGUUGGUCUUUGGUCAUUUGAUUUUUUUUUCUUCUAGGCUUGAGUCCUUUGUAAUCUUAUUUACCAGCUAUUCCAUUUGGUAGAUACCGCUUGCCAAAAAAAAAAGAAAUAAAGAAAAGGCAGAAGGUGCAAAAAAAAAAAGAAAAAAAAAGAAAAAAAGAGCCGCACCAAAGAAAAAACAGAAAAAAAGAGAAAAAAAAUCAGAAAAAGAAAGAGUGGAAUUUUUUUUGUUGGAAUCUUGGAGAGAGUUGCUUACUAUAGCGAGUUGUGGAUUGUCCGAGUGUGAUCAUUUGCUUGCUUAAGCUAGGAUUGAGUCUAGGCUACGCCAGCAAUUUUGACUAGUACUUUGGACUAUUAUUCAAUUUCGCAAAUCUGUUUGAUUUUUGCUAUUCCUUGUGAUAUAGUUAAGCCUACCAAGAUCCACAUACUCCUAACCUUUACAGGUCCGGCCUUGCAAUUGCUCCACUCAUCAAGCGUGUCAUUGUGCCACGAACCAGCCACGGUGAUUGACCUGUUUUGCAUUCUUUGAGAAUAUUAUAAGAAUUUGGUAUAUGCUUGAGUGUUGAGUGCCUUCAAAAGCUCCACAUAUAUAUAGAUUGUUAGGAACUGACACUUUCUUGUGAGUUUCUUUUGCUUGCUAACGAUGUCAGGUACAAGUUCCGACGAACCAACACUGGAGAAUCUAGCGCAUAAACUGAAGGGUAUGGAAAAUUGGUAUGAAGAGUUGAUGCGUAAUAGUAAAUCAUACAAGGAAAGCACAGAUAAACAUUUAAAAACCUUAAGUGAAAGCCUGGUGAAAGUAGUGGAUCAAAUUGAGAAAAUGAAUCAAUCACAUAAACAAUUAACUGAAAACAUUCAGAAUAUGAUUAUUGAACAUGAAAAUAUUGUGCGACGCAUUGGUUUACUUGAGGCUGCAGGUGAAGAAGGUGCAGGUGCCACUGCUCAUCGACACCAAAGAUAUGACGAUGAAGACGAAGAGCAAUCUGUUGCUGAUGAUGUGGAGGAAGACGAGAGUGUUGGAAAUAGAAGACAACGUCGAGUUAGGGACAAAGAUGAUCCUUUAUCUAAGGUAAAAUUUACUAUGCCUUCUUUUGAUGGUAAGUUUGAGCCUUCUGUUUAUCUAGAUUGGGAGUUAGCUGUUGAGCAAAAAUUCUCUUGCUAUGAUUUUCCUGAUAAUAAGAAAGUUAAAGCUGCCAGUAGUGAAUUUACCUCCUUUGCAUCUCUAUGGUGGAAUAAUAUAUGUGGUAGAGGACUUAGACCUAGAACAUGGGAUGAUAUGAAACGUACAAUGAGGUCUAGAUUUGUUCCUUCUUACUAUGCUCGUGACAUGUUAAAUAAACUGCAACUUUUAAGACAAUGUUCCAAUUCUGUAGAAACAUACUAUCAAGAGAUGAUGAUUGCUUUGUCACGAUGUGAUUUGCAAGAAACUGAGGAUGCUAGAAUUUCUAGGUUCUAUGGAAGUCUUAAUAGAGAGAUUCGGGAUAUUCUUGAAUAUAAAGAAUACAAUACCAUGAAUAGAUUAUUCCAUUUUGCAUGCAAAGCUGAAAGAGAAGUGCAGGGACGCAACAAGCAUAGAAGUUCUUUUGCAGGUGCUACUUCCACACGACAGUCAACACCACGUCAAGCUACUACUGCCGUUCGUUCACCUACUUCUACGCCAUCCAAUGCUCAAGAAAAAAGCAAAAACGCUUCAGUUCAGACUCCAGCCAAGAGUGCAACUUCAGUAGCUUCCACUGGACGUACCCGUGAUAUUACAUGUCAUAAGUGCCAUGGCAUUGGACACAUUGCACGUGACUGUCCAAAUCGGCGAGCUCUAUUUGUGAAUGAUGAUGGUGAGUAUACUUCUACUAGUGAUUGUGAUGAUGAAUAUGCUUUAGCUGCCACUGACCACGCAGGAGGACAAGAUAAUGAUGACAUCGAGGAAGUCCAUUUGCAUCCAGAGUCGCUAGAUCAGUAUCCUAGCCUAAUUGUCAAGCUAGCACUUAGUGCUAAAGAGAAGUGUGAAGAGCAAAACCAAUGUCACAAUUUGUUCCAAAGCAAAGUUCUUGUGAAAGACCAUACCGUCAAAAUGAUUAUUGAUAGCGGGAGUUGCAACAAUUUAGCAAGUGAAGAGAUGGUCAAGAAGCUUGGCUUGACUACCCAUCCACCUCCACGAAUUAGCACUUAACCCUAGCUUUAUUUUCCUCUAUAAAUAACUUUGUACAUCCUCAAAAACAAUUGGGUUUUGUUUAGUUGAAUUUUGCCAAGUGCCAUUCACCUUGUCUCUAGUCCUUGCUCGAUUAGUCGGCGACUAUAGAUUCAGAGCCCCCAAUAGUUAGUGUGUUGAUUUGCCGGGUCGAUUAGAUCUACCACUUCAAUCGCAACUAUUCCUUUGUGCUUAAUUCCCUAUUCGCAAUAUUUAGAUUGCAUCUUAUCUUGUUCUUGCAGUGUUCUCUCGUUUGCAUUGUAGGGAUCAUCAACCGCGCGUCACGGUUGGUACGACAUCGUUUGUGGUGUAGCGAUUGCACGGCGUCCUGGAUUUGUUCUGGUUGGUAGCCACAUCGCAAACGUCGCACUCGAUCAAAGCGAGAGUUAUCCCCCUCACCAGAAGAUCGUGCCACGAGAGAGAGCGUCAUCACCUGUACGCACACAAGUUGCCUGAUUUUUUUUCCUAGUGGACACACUCGUGUGUAAAAAGGAUAUGCUUUGCUAGCUACUUCCUCCGUCCCAAAAUAUAACUAUUUUUUAUUUCGACAUAGUUUUCGAUAUGCUAUUUUGAUUAAUAAUAUCUAAAAAGAGUUGUAUAUUAUGAUAGUUCGUUUAAUGAUAAAUCUAGUAACAUCAAUUUUAAAUGAUGUAUUUUUUUAUUAUUUUAUUAAUAGUUAAAGUUAAAAAUGUUAGACUAGUCUAUAAAUAUUUUUAUUUUGGGACGGAGGUAAUCCCAGACAUAUGCUUUUUUCUAGAUAAUGUGACAUGGAUAUGUAGGCCAGAAAAUUAAACAUCAAGUUGCUAAAGAAAGUAUGAGGAAGGUAACGUAAGUAUGUGUGCCAAGACUAAAGAAGUGUGGAUCCAUGCAUAUAUGGCUAGUUUGCUACAAUUAAUUGACCACUUAUAAUUAACUUUAGUUACAUUAGUAGGAGUAGUUAGGAUUAAAAAAACUAGAGUAAAAUACAGUAGCGGCCCUUAAACUUGAGGGCGGAUGUCAUCCAGGUCCAUUAACUUGCAAAUCGUGUAAUUAGACCACUAAACUUGCUAAAUGUACCAUCGCCGGUCCAAAAUGCCAUUUGACCGCGGUCGCGCCGACGUGGCAUGCCACGUGCACAGCUGAGCUGGACCACACCGUGCGUGACACACCGCCCACGCCUUGUCGUUUUUCAUCCAGGCCCCUCUCUUUUUCUCAUUUGGUUUCCACCACUGCUUCUUCUUCCCUGAAGCGCCCAAAAUCUAAGCGCCGACUAGGGUUGCGAUUGAGGGCAAGUUUCGGCGGCGGAGCAGGUUGCGGCAGGUUCGUCGGCGGAGCAGGUCUCGGCAGGGUUCGGCGACGGAGUAUGUCGUGGCAGGGUUCUUUGGCGGAGCAGGUCUCGGCGGGCUUCGGCGGCGGAGCGGCUGGGUUGAAGGCGAUGGCAGGCUCGAGCUCCAGUUGGAGCACAACACGGUGGGCGACAGAAAUAUCCAGGCAAGGUAAAACCUUUCCAUCUCCCAUUCGGUACCUGGAGAGUACUUUGUUGAAGUCAGUUGGUUUAUUCAUUUUGAAUGUGCAGAAUGGUGGAUGCAAAUUACGGCAGUGGUAUGAACCAGGGACAACGUCGUAUUUGAAGCAGGUUUUGAAUGAUUUAGUCAGCACUGUUCGUGAAGUGAAGACAGAGAACUCUGAAAUUAGAGCAUCCCUUGCCAACUCAAGAGCUAUGAUUGAUGGACUUGUCACUGAACGCAAUGUCUAUGAAGCAAAGAGCAGGGGACAAAAAGAGGAAUGUGGCUCAGUUACUAAAAUGGCCUAUAGAAUCAAGAUGUUAGAAGAGAGUAGAAGAUCUAUGUUGUCAGUUAUUGUUGGUUUUGUAGUAGUCAUAUUUGCACUAUUGCUUCUUAGGUAGAUACCAAAGUUUGAUGGAUAUGGAUGUAUUGGUGCUGGUGUGUUUUGUGUCAGCUGAAAUAAGGCACUUGAGUGACCUUUUGUGUAUGCUGAAUCUGAACCAUGUAUGGAAAAUGUAUGCUAAAUGCUAUUAUGUGAAGCUGAAAUCUGAGAUUUUGUUCUGAAAAUCGACAUCUCUAAUUUUUUUCAGCAGACAACUGUUAUUUUGUUCUAGCAUAUGAAAUGUCCUGUAAAACUGUCAUAUGGAAAUAGCAAACAUGCAUCAUGCAUUACAGGCAGUAAUUUCGCAUAUUCAUCACAAUACCAAAUUUCUGGCAUUUAGUAGUAUUUCCAGUACUACAUUUAGUGAACACAUGUCUGGCAUCACAAAAAUCCCAUGUUCUAUCACAAAAUAGCCACAAGUUUGGCAGCACAAAAUCAAGCAAGCAUGCCCAUGAAAUCCAUACAAGGUUGAAAUUUUUGCAUAACAAAGUACUACUAACACUAAAGGACCAUCAAACAUAUGGUCUAACACAUAUCACUUGUUUGUAGCAGUAGCUUUCUUCCUGGGAGCUCUGUUCUUUGAAGUAGUAGCAGCAACUCCUGAAACUCCUUCAGUUGUACACUUCCUUUUGUUGGCCCUAGAUUUUCCCUCUUUUGUUGCUGUGGUCAUAGGGGUAGAUACUACAGCUGGCUGGUUUGAAAGAAUGUACUGGUUAUCUGGGAGAGGACCAUGUGUAGUUUCCAUUUGACUCACUUGUGAUGAUUCCUCAAACAUCUGUGCAACCAUAGGAUUAGGAACUUGUGAUAGUAAUUGGUCAUAUGCAGACUGAGAUUGGGUCAGCACCUACAAGUUUACAAAGGUAAUUAAGAUAGAGUUAUAAUUAAUAGGGUACUGAUAAUAGAGUGAUAAGAUAGAGUAUUGUUUCAUUACCUCUACUGGUUCUUGCUCAGAUUCAUGCAACUCUUCUGUAGAACUUGCAGCUGGGGUCCUACUUGUCUUCAGUUUGGGUUUGAGUCCAGCCUUUCUCAGUGGGCACCCUUUCUUGUUAUGUCCAGGCUCUUUGCAGUAAGAGCAGUGCAUCUCCACACCAUGCUUGGACAUUUUAGGCCCAUUUUUUCCCUGUACCUCAUGUGGUGCUUUCCUCCUAGACUUAUGUGGUCUGCCAACCUUUUUCUCAUAUAUUGGAGGCUUCACUUCUGGCCCAUUCACCUGAGCCCACUUAGUCAUAUCAUUGCAGGGCCAAAUGUUAAAUGCAUAUGCUCUGGAGAAUGCUUCUAAACUAUAGCAGGGUGGAAGAACUGACUCGGCACUAAUUCUCUCACUCCUUAAGCAUGAGAUAGCAUGGUUACAAGGGAUGCCUGUUAGAUCCCAUCUCCUGCAGUCAAAAUGUUUAGCACUAAGGUCAACAAUGUACUUGAAAUUCCUAUCUUCCACCUGAAAAAUCCCUUUCCCGGCUGGCAAAACAUAACAUGUGUUUGCCAUAUCUGCAUUUUUCAGUACUUUCUUCCUGAUCUUGGGGCAUAUAGGCCCAUGCCAUUGCUCUGCCACUUCUUUCUGCUUACUGUAAUGCCUACUCAUUACUUGGCUUUUGAUCUUUUCAAACAUACUCAGGAUUGGCAAUUCCCUAGCUUCUAAGAUGUACUUGUUGAAUACUUCACAAUUAUUGUUCAACAAGAUAUCACACUUAGGGAAUUCACUGAAAUAAGCUCUGACCCAAGUUUUAGGAGGCAUCUUUUGAAGCCACUCAUAUGCAUCCUGAUUAAGAGAUUUCAUUUCUUCCAUGUUGGCAUUCCACUCAACCUCUGAACUUGAUCUAGCACAUGCCCAUAACUGGUUUUUCAGAUUCUCACCUUUGAAAUGUACCUGAAAAUUGGAGUACAGAUGUCUAACACAAAAUCUAUGUUCUGAAUCAGGGAAAAUCUGUUGGACAGCUGGUAUAAGACCCUGUAUCAUGUAAAAACAAACAUGGAAUUUGAAAUAUGUCAGAUUAUAAGAACAAAACUUAUAAGACAAAAAUAAAGAACAAGUAUACCUUUUGCUUAUCAGUCAUUAUUGUCCAUGGGUAGGUAUUGUCAAUGCCCAGGUCUUCCUUUAGGGUAUAUAGAAACCAUGUCCAAGACCUCAAUGACUCUUUCUCAACCACAGCUAUUGCAAUUGGAUAUAUGCAAUCAUUAGGGUCAAUGCCUACUGCUGUUAGGAUUUGUCCACCAAAUUUAGUCUUGAUGUGGCAACCAUCCAAACAUAUCAAAGGCCUACAUCCACUCAGAAACCCUCUCUUACAUGCAUCAAAGGACAUGUAAUAUGUGCUGAAACAACUGUCUACCAGGUUCAAAAAGAAGCAACUGCCUGGAUUAGACCUUCUUAGCUCAGCCCCAUAGUUCCACAACUAAUUAUAUUGUUGAAUCUCAUCACCAUAUAUGGCCUUGAAGGCCAAUCUCCUUGCCCUGGCUAGCUUGCUUCUAGAUGGAGUCAGAUUCCAUUCUAAUUGGACUAACUUUGCAAACCCUCCAAGUGUCAUCUUAUCAUUUGCUCUAAAAGUUUCAAUGUACUUCUCAGAUAGCCAUUUAGCAGUACACCUUUUCAGCACCCAUUCCUUCUGACAUUUAUGCUCCCCAAGAUAUGUCUUCACCAUCAUUGACUUGGACCUGCUAUCAAAUGAUGCAUAUAAGUUCCAUGGGCAACCCUCAACACAGUGGGCCCUAAGUCUUUUUUGCUCAUUCCUAGGUAUCUUGAUGUCCACUCUAGCCUUCAAACUGUACUCUGUUAUGGCCUUUCUAAGUACUUCUACUGAAGGAAACACCAUGCCAACCUUAAAAACUGGGUUCUUAACAUCCUCUGCCAUGAAAGCCUUGAACUUUAAUCUCACUUCACCUUCAUCAUCUGAAUCUGGGAGCUGCAAAUCUUCAUCAUCAGUGGAAACUUCCUCCCCAUCAGAAUUUCUAACUACUAUUUCUUUCCUCUUCAACUGACUGCCCUUAGCUUUCUUCCAAGACUUUGCCUUGCAGUCAGAUAAGUCUUCAACACCCAUAUCAACAUUGUCAACAUACAAGUCAUCAUCUGCAUCUGAUAUAUCAUAGUCACUGUCCACAAAAUCUGUGUCAUCUUCUAAGCUACCAUCACUGUCACUGUCAUCUUGUUUGUUUGGCACCUUCCUAUCAGCAGUUGGCAUCUUCCUAGGACUAAGCACCCUAGGCAAUUCACUAAUAGGAUUAGCUACUACAUCAUCCCAAUCUACACCUGCAAUUGUGUCACCCUGAUCAAAGUAGAUAAUAAAAUUCUUAACCUUGUGCACAACUGAUUUCAUCACUUCAAAGUCAGCCCUAGUAGAUAUAACCCUAAGGCCAUCUUCAAGAGUCCUUCCAGGGAGCAACCAAUAAGCCUUAAAAUCUGGAGUCAUAUCAUACCCAAGCAUAGCUAAAAAUUCAUCCAAACAAACAAUAUCCCAUGUUCCUGCUUCACAGUGGUCAAUCCAAUUUAUUGUUUGAUCUACAUAUGCCCUGUUGCUACUUUGACCAACAAAAAAACCACCAUGGUGUACCUCAGCGGUGAAUUUACCAUCAUCAGGACCUGCAUUGCAAUCCUAAUUAGCUGUAUUACUCUCAUGUUCUAGCCUACUCGAGAACAAUGUCAGGAUAAUCAUCCUACAGGGAAAAAUAACAUCUUUUUUGCAUAACAAACGCCUUAUUCCUUUGUAUCUAUCUACCAACAUCAAUCAGUGCAUGCUAACCCUGCAGAUUAAUGGACGAACGAAAUUUUGAAGUUAUACUCACUGUACAACGGAGGCCCUUCCCCUUCCAGGCGGAAAAUCAUGCCUCCUCCCCGCGAUUAUGGUCGGCGGGAGGCCGCAACAGCCAAUCGAUCUCGCCUCUUUGCGCUUCCGUUGGAACCCUAUUUCUCCGGCGAUCACCCCCCUCACGAUCUCCGCUGCACUCUGCGCUAGGGCACUCCGGGGAAGACGAAGCAGCAGUGGAUGACGAAAGAAAAUGAGAAAAACAGAGGGGCCUCGAUGAAAAAAAAACAAGUGUGGCCGGUGACACACACGGUGCGCGUGAGAAAAGGCACGGUGCGGGCCAGCUCAGCUGUGCACAUGGCAUGCCACGUCGGCGCGACCACGGUCAAAUGACAUUUUGGACCGGCGAUGGUACAUUUAGCAAGUUUAGUGGCCUAAUUACACGAUUUACAAGUUAAUGGACCUAGAUGAUAUCCGCCCGCAAGUUUAAGGGCCGCUACUGUAUUUUACUCAAAAAACUAUACUAGAGGUAAACGUGUGACAGUACAAGACCAGUCAAAGUCUUUCCAACGUCUCUCGCAUGCUGUACGUACGUACUAUAACACGUAGUAGUAGAACCGUACGUACGUCUUCGUGAGUUAGGUAAUUAAUAUGCGGCUACACGAGAGGAAAAGGCCAAGGAAAAUCAUUGGAAAGUUCAUUGCAACGUGCCAAAUAUUAAUAUUGCCUCUGUGCAUGCUCAACGUUAUAUCUUGUGCCUCCAGCUGGGCAUAUAUUAUGGUAUGAUCCUUAAUUUUAAUCUUGAAAGAAACUACCUUUUUACCAUUUCUUUAAUUCUUUAGAUAAGAAAAAGAAAAAUAUUCUCUAGAAACCAUAUCUGUCACGGUAUCCACCUUGUCAUCGGCUAUGUCAGUGUUACUCGAAGCUUUAUUUCUAAUUAAGGGUAUCUUUACUCUAUGUGUGUGUGUAUAUUGAUAUUUCUCAACCAGGUUAUGAAUAGGGCCCACUAUUGUUGUUGUAACUUUAAGUAUUGCAUUAGAGUUAGAAAAGGGAUGAACCUAGCUUUGGGUUAAGCCCUCAACCGGUUCGUGGAGUGUUGUGGAAAAAAAUGGUGACGGUUACCUCUGACGAACGUCCUCCGUCAAAUGUGAGUAAAGUCAUCAGCGACCACUAAUCUCUGACUAGGACCAAAACACGUCAAAGGUGACGGUUUGAAUACCGUCAGAGAUGACCUGAUUCGGCGUAGUGUGCAUAGCUUUAUAUGAGCCUGUACUUAGGCCUUGAGCUAUGGCCGAGGUAGCCCGGUUAUGAUCCAUCAUUGGUUGGGAGCCAUCACAACUUUGAAAGACACAUUUUCGGAUAAUGUGAUAUGGAUACAUAUGCACACACACUAGAAUACUAGAUGAUACCCCGUGCAGUGCAGACGGAAUAUUGGUGUGUGCAAUGCAGUUGUAAAAUUUCAAUACGUACAUACGAGAAAGAUUAUAUAUACACGCUGAUAUGAACUAUAGAAGUGUCAUCCAAUGUGUUGUCAAGUGAUGGUGUAACUUCUUUACAGUAAUAACGUUCUACGCUAGCUAAGUAAAUCACUGAAUGCUAAGUUAUUUACUAAUUAGUGAUGAAUAGUAGCUACAAAAUGGAUUAAGCAUAGGAAUGAUCCAAUAUAUGGCUCUCUUUUUUUAAAAUUAUGUGGUUUAAUGCAUGUUGAGCUAUUGGCUAUAGGAUAUAUAAAUAAGCCAGAAAAAUAAACAUCAAGUUGCAUUCACUACCUGCCCAGAUGAAGAAAGUAUGCAGCUGAGCUGUGUGCCAAAGACUAUUAAAGUACAGUGUGAAUACAUGCAUGGAAAGUUUGCGACAAUUGACCACUUAAUUAUAUUUAGUGGAAGUAAUUAACAUCUACUAGAAGCAACGUGACAGUGCAGGACCAAGUCUAAAGUGUCUUUCCAACCUCGAUCUCUCGUAAUCGAGCUUAGCUAUAGCUCUCAUGAUUUAACUGCUAUAAAUACCUCAGCAAGCAACAAGUCUCAGCACAAGACAUUAAUUAAUUAGCUUGAGAAACUCAUCUGCUGGAUCGAGCUUCUCUGUUAAUUAAUGGCGUCGAAAGCCUUUGCACUCGUGCUGCUGGCGGCGGCGACGCUGGCCAUGGCGGCCAGCACGGCGGCGGCGCAGAGCUCGCCGCAGGACUUCGUCGACGCCCACAACGACGCCCGCCGCGGCGAGGGCGUCGGCCUCCCCGACGUGGUGUGGAACACGACGCUGCAGGCGUUCGCGGAGAGCUACGUGGCGGUGCUCGCCGCCACCUGCAGCCUCGACCACUCGAACAGCGUGCAGCUGGGCUACGGCGAGAACCUGUACAUGGGCGGCGCCGGCAGCGCGUCGACGGCGGCGGACGCGGUCGGCUUGUGGAUGGAGGAGAAGGCGGACUACGUGUACAGCAGCAACACGUGCACGAGGGGGGCGCUGCUCGACUGCGGCCACUACACGCAGGUGGUGUGGCGGAGCACGACGUCGAUCGGCUGCGCGCGCGCCGCCUGCAGCAACGGCGGCGGUGUCAUCAUCAGCUGCAACUAUUUCCCGCCCGGCAACUUCCCCGAUCAGCGCCCUUACUAGUACACUAUACUUACUACUACAUGAAUGUACGCAUCAGAUAUAUAUUUAUAUGAAUAAAUUAAUCACGUUCAUGUAUGUAUAACAUAUACAGUACCAUAUUCGUACUUACUAUAAUAAGUAAGGCAAAUUUUUCUACGCGGCAUCGCAGUUGUGUGGUUUUAGCCUAGGGACACCGAAAAACAAAGCUUUGGGGGAAAGACACUACAUAACCAUAGAUAUUUAUCGAUGAGCACCGUGCCGUCUAAAUGAAACUUGCCAUGCUGACGUGGCGGUUCAGGAGCCCUUUUUUAAUGUGGUUGGACCGAAAUGCCCUUGCGCCUUAUCUCCCUUGAGGGAGUAGCCGGUCAUGGUGAAGAACCCCUCGGUGGCGUAGAUGAUGGGGCAGUCCGGGCGCGUCGCGUCGGAGACGACGAACGUCUGCUGCAGGCUGGACAGCGCGUCCUUGACCUCCAGCGACACCCACGCGGCAGCCAGUCUUACGACGCGCGGCCGCCGCCGCGCGCCGCCGUCCACUGACGACUUGCAUGCCGCUCCCGUCCCCGACGUGCCGCCGUUGUCGCACCACGCCGCCGCCACCGGACGCCAAGCCUGCUGCUGCUGGGCGCUGCUUCCGCUAGAGCCCUCCUCGGCAACGAUCUCCAAGCCGGCGGCGGUGGAGAUGGGGAACGCCAUCCACUUCUCCACCGCGUCCACUAUCUCCUUCGAGCUGCUGGCCGCCAUGGAUGCCGACGAGAUUGUCCUCGGCUAUUAUCAGCAAAGGUGUAACAAUCUUGGCAGUGCAACUGCCACUGGUGGAGAAACCAUCUUUCGUCGGUCGGGCUAAUUCCACAAUAGUCCCGGUUGCAACAAAAACCGGGACUAAAGAUCAUCUUUAGUCCCGGUUAAAAAGGGUAACGGGCAUAUUUGAUCUACACCAACCGGGACUAAAGAUCGUAACUUUAGUCCCGGUUCAAAUGCUGUAAGGGCCUGUCAGGUCCCCCGGGAUCUUUAGUCCCGGUUAAUAACACCAACCGGGACUAAAGAUCGUAACUAAAGAUCACAGCGAUCUUUAGCCCCGGUUCAUAACACCAACCGGGACUAAAGUCUCACCCCUAUAUAAAUGUCUUCUUCCUCCUUCAGCCCGAGCAAGCUUCAAAAUUUCUUCAAAAAAGAGGGGAGGUCAUGCCAAAAUUUCUAGUAAAUUUAUUUUGGUGAUUAUAUACAAAUCAGAGGUGCCUAAAAGGUUAGCAACUUCAUCCUCCAAUGUUUUUUUUUUCAUAUUACAUUUGGAGCUAUGUUUUGCACACAUUUUUGUGACCAAAAUUUUGUUGUUAUUUGAUGAGAGAGAAAAUUUGUGUGGAGAAUAAAGAAUAUAUAGAAAUUUAGUUUAUUUGCUAAAGAAGGUUUUAUAAAAAAGUUGAGAAGGAAAAUAUAGUGAAAGUUAAUCUUGAAUAAUAGAAAACAAAGUAAAAUGACAAAUUAAAAUAAGUACAACACAUUAAUAUUAGUUUAAAACUUUAUAAAUAGUAAAUAUAUAAUUAUUCGGUGUAAUAUUUCAUAAUAUUUGUAGGAAUAAUGAUAUGUCAUUAUUGUGUGACUGUUGAAAGAGUUUGUAAUUAUUUUAUAAUUAUUGUAUGACUGUCAUUAUUGUACGAAUAAUUAUGUGUGUACGAUUUUUUUUCAUGUUAUGUAGAUGGAUCGGCAAUGGAUGUACGCUGACCGGUGGUCCAAAGAGUUUAUUGACGGCGUGCAUUAUUUUUUGAGAGUGGCCGAAGCUAACAUGCAAAAGGGUUUUAUUUGUUGUCCAUGCAAUAAGUGUAAGAAUCAGAAGGAGUAUUCUGCAUGCAGGACUAUUCAUUUCCACUUGUUUGAGUCGGGGUUCAUGCCAAGCUAUAAUUGUUGGACAUCCCACGGAGAGCAAGGUGUUGAAAUGGAAGAAGAUGAAGUGGAAGACGACAAUAUUCCGGACUUUGCUCAGUACGCUGGAUUUGAAUGAAAUCAAACGGGCGAGGAGGAAAGGGAUGCUGAUGGUAACAACAUUGCGGAUGAUCUUGGUCAGAUGUUGCAGGACGCCAUGGAGGAUUGCGAAAGUGAAAAGGGGGCCCAUAAAUUGGACAAGAUGUUAGAGGACCAUAGAACGUCGUUGUACCCAGGUUGCGAGCAGGGGCACAAAAAGUUGGAUACCACUCUGGAGUUCUUGCAAUGGAAGGCAAAAAAUGGUGUUAGUGACAAGGCAUUUGGCGAUUUAUUGAAACUCGUUAAGAACAUUCUUCCGGAGGGAAACAAGUUGCCCGAGACAACGUACGAGGCUAAGAAGAUAGUGUGCCCUCUAGGACUGAAAGUUCAGAAGAUUCACGCAUGUCCGAAUGAUUGUAUUCUAUAUCGCGGUGAGGAGUACGAGAACCUAGAAGCAUGCCCUGUUUGCAAAGCACUACGAUAAAAGAUUAGACGAGAUGAUCCAGGAGAAGUUGACGGGCAGCUAACGAAGAAGAGAAUUCCUGCUAAGGUGAUGUGGUAUUUCCCUAUAAUAUCACGGCUAAGGCGUUUGUUCAGGAACAAGGGGAACGCUAGAAUGAUGCGGUGGCACGCUGAAGAGCGUCAACAGGACGGGAUGCUGAGACACCCCGCCGAUGGUUUGCAGUGGCGAAACAUCGAUAGAAAAUUUAAAGACUUUGGAAAGGACGCACGAAACAUACAGUUUGGUUUAAGUACGGAUGGCAUGAAUCCUUUUGGAGAGAUGAGCAGCGGCCACAGCACUUGGCCCGUUACGAUAUGUAUCUACAACCUCCCCCCGUGGCUAUGCAUGAAGAGGAAGUACAUAAUGAUGCCGAUUAUAAUUCAAGGGCCCAAGCAACCUGGUAACGACAUCGAUGUGUACCUAAGACCACUGGUCGAAGAUCUUAAACUGUUGUGGAAGAAGGAAGGUGUCCCCGUGUGGGAUGAGGACAAACAGAAGGAGUUUAACCUACGAGCGCUGCUGUUCGUAACCAUCAACGAUUGGCCUGCACUUAGCAACCUAUCCGGGCAGUCCAACAAGGGGUACAAGGCUUGCACUCACUGUAUGGAUGAAACAGAAAGUACGUAUCUUAAGUACUGUAGGAAGGUUGUGUACAUGGGUCAUCGUCGAUUCCUUGCAGCAAACCAUCCGGUUCGGAAGAAAGGCAAGCACUUUGAACAUAAGGCGGACCACCGUACGAAGCCUAAACAUCGCAGCGGAAAAACAGUGUUUGCUAUGGUUAAAGAUCUUAAAGUAGUGUUUGGAAAGGGGCGUGGCAGCCAGCCUAUAGAGAGCGAAGAUGGUCACGCGGCGAUGUGGAAAAAGAACUCUAUAUUUUGGGAGUUAUCCUAUUGGGAAUUCUUGGACGUCCGCCACGCAAUCGACGUGAUGCACCUCACUAACAAUCUUUGCGUAAACCUUCUUGGCUUCCUAGGUGUAUAUGGAAAGUCGAAAGAUACACUGGAAGCACGUAAUGAUCUAAAGCAUAUGGAACAACGCGGUGACCUUCACCCAGAACCAAAGGAGAAAGGAAGCCAUUACUUGAGUCUAGCCAGCUACACUCUUAGCAAGGCAGAGAAGGAAAGUACGUUUGAAUGCUUGGAGAGCAUCAAGGUACCGUCUGGAUACUCCACGAAUAUAAAGCGAAUAAUAAGCACGAAGGAGAAGAAGUUCACAAACCUAAAGUCUCAUGACUGUCACGUGUUGAUGACACAGCUGCUACCAGUUGUAAUAAGGGGUAUCCUCCCAGACAAUGUCCGGGCAAUAAUAACAAAGCUAUGUGCUUUCAUGAACGCAAUUUCGCAGAAGGUCAUCGAUCCUCAUAGAUUAGAAGCCCUGCAAAAUGAUGUGGUGCAAUGUCUUGUCAGCUUUGAGUUGAUAUUUCCACCUUCAUUUUUCAAUAUAAUGACGCAUCUGCUUUGUCACCUUGUCAAAGAGAUCGGUAUUCUCGGUCCUGUGUACCUACACAACAUGUUUCCUUUCGAGAGGUACAUGGGCGUUCUGAAGAAGUAUGUUCGUAACCGUGCUCGUCCAGAGGCAAGCAUCGCCAAGGGGUAUGGAACAGAGGAGGUCAUCGAAUUCUGCGUAGAAUUUAUCGAAGACCUUCGCCCAAUCGGGAUACCUGAAUCACGCCAUGAAGGGAGACUACGGGGAAAGGGGACUCUCGGAAAGAAAGCAAUAAUGACGUUAGACAACAAUUUAUUCCGUAAAGCCCAUUUCACGGUUCUGCAACAAUCUUCAUUGGUGGCUCUCUACAUCGAGGAGCACUUGGCUCUAGUUUGCACCAAAAACAUCGGUAAGUCCGAUGCAUGGAUUACAAGGCAUCACAUUGAUACUUUCUCCACAUGGCUGCGACAACAUCUCAUGGGUAAUGAGACGAUUAACCAACAACUGGCCUUCCUGGCGAGGGGACCAUCUGGCUCGAUCGCGACAUUCCAGGUAUAUGAAAUCAAUGGGUACACAUUCUACACGAGGGCCCAAGACAUGAAGAGCACGAACCAGAACAGUGCUGUUCGUAUCGAUGCCAUGGGACACGAUGGUACAACUGGCACGUAUUACGGUGCCAUCGAGGACAUAUGGGAACUUGACUAUGGACCUCUCAAGGUCCCUUUGUUCCGGUGCCAAUGGGUUAGGUUGACUGGUGGAGGCGUAACGAUUGAUGACAGUGGGAUGACAACGGUUGACCUUAACAAGGUUGGAUACUCGGACGAACCUUUUGUCCUUGCCAAUGAUGUAACCCAAGUUUUUUACGUCAAGGACAUGUCUAGCAAAGAAAAAAAGGGCAAAGUGACUGACGAGCCGAAGCGCCACGUGGUUCUCCCAGGAAAAAGAAAAAUCGUCGGAUUAGAGGACAAGACUGACGAGGAUUACGAUCAGUUUGAUGGGCAACCCCUUUCACGAUGACAAUUGACCCUAGCAUCCUCCUAUCAAAUGAAGACACCCCUUACUCACGUAGCGAUCACAAGGAAUGAACAAUAGUGAGGAGAAAGUACGUCCGGUCAACCGUCACCGCCGAUGUAUUGCCGUAAUUGUUCUGUACACGAUGUAAACUAUGUUGGAUGUACCGAAUAUCUAUACUAAUCAAUUGUUGUAUGGCAUAUGUAAAAUACGUAUGAUUAUUAGAAUUUUUAUCAAAUUGAAAUCAUCCAUAUGCUAGUUAUAUAUGAUUAUUAGAUUUUUUGUUAAUUAUGUAUGAUUAUUAGAAUUUUAAUCAAAUUAAAAUCAUCCAUAUGCUACAUAUAUAUGAUUAUUAGAAUUUCUAAAGGUUUUAAAUCAUGCAUGUGGUAUUUACAUAUGUUAAUUAGAAUUUUUAUCAAUUUAAUAUCAUGAUAUGCUAGUUAUAUAUGAUAUUAGAUUUUGUAUUAAUUUUAAAUCAUGCAUGUGCUAUUAUGUUAAUUAGAAUUUUUAACAAUUUUAAAUCAUUCAUGUGCUUAUUAUAUAUUAUCCACGUAUUCUACUACGUACAACAAUAAUUUUUCGAAGGUUUUAUCAUUAAUUGUUCGACUUUAAAUAAUUGUAAUGCAUUAUUUACUAUUUUAGAAACACAUAUGCAAUGAAAUUGAAGACACAACUGCUAUUAUCUUUAUUCCCGGUUCCUAACCCUAACCGGGUUUAAAAAGAAUUUGGAAAUAGCGGGAAAAGAUCUUUAGUCCCGGUUCCUGAGAACAACCGGGAGUAAAAAUAUCUUUACUCCCGGUUUAUGAGAACAACCGGGACUAAAGAUCUUUUCUUUAGUCCCGGUUGUUGUCAACAACCGGGAGUAAAGAUAUCUUUACUCCUGGUUGUUCUCACCAACCGGGACUAAAGAUCCGGGGGUAUAUAUAUUCCCGGUGCGCCCUCGUCUUCUCCACCAACACUUAGCCGUUUUUCGAUCUUGAUCGGCCUCUCCUUCGCCGCCACCGUGCCUAGGGCAACCCCGCGCCGACACCGCCGUCGUUUCUCGCCGUCGCUUGGUGGUCCUCGCCGCCUCCGCCGCAGACGCCGCCGCCGCAUCUCUUGGGUGAGAGCCGCCGCUGCCUCUCUCUCUCUCUUGAUCUCGAUCUCGAUCUCUCUCUCUGAUCGAUCUCCACGGCCGGCCGACGACCGACUUCGAUCGACGCGGCCGCCGCCGCCGUCGACGACGUCGCCACUGCCACGAACGCCGCCCCCCCGAGCUUGAUCGCCACGCCACCGCGCCACGCCGCCGCUACGCCACUCGGCCGCCACCGCCUCGAGCUCGCCACGCCGCCACUACGCCACGCCGCGGCCGUCGCGUGCCGCCACCGCGCCCGCACGCCGCUGGGCCCCGACGCCGCGGCCGUGCCCGCACGCCGCUGGCCCCGACGCCGCCACUGCGCCCCCACGCCGCUGGCCCCGACACCGCAGCCGCGCCCCCACGCCGCCGGGCCCCCACGCCGCCGGGCCCCCACGCCGCCGCCGCCGCCGCGCCCGCACGCCGCCGGGCCGGCCCACGGCGCCCCGACGCCGCCGCCACUGCACGCCACUUCCGCGCGCGCCCGAACGUGACCGAACGCGAAGAACGUGAACGAUACGUGGACGACCUUUGAACGAACGCUGAACGAACGUGAACGAAACGUUAACGAACGCGAACAAACGUAACGAAACGUUAACGAACGCGAACGAACGUGAACGAAACGUUAACGAACGUGAACGAAACGUUAACGAACGCGAACGAACGUGCACGAAACGUUAACGAACGCGGACGAACGUAACGAAACGUUAACGAACGCGAACGAACGUGAACAAUACGAUUACAAAACGCGAACGAACGUGCACGAAACGCUUACGAACAUGAAUGCACUUGUACUAAAUGUGUGAGAACGAACGCGUUUCUACUAAUACGAUUUACUGGUAAUGUUGCAGAGAAGACGUUUAGACUAAUACAUUUUCCUGGUAAUGUUGCAGAGAAGACGUCGGCGUCGUCCCUCAAGCCGAAGUGGUAGCUAGCCAUCGAAGGAAUUCGCGCAGGCAAGUGAUGUAAUUAAGUGAUUGUUAGAUAUUUAAUAUAAGAUUGUUACACUUAGCAUACAUGAUUAUUACACUUUUAAUAUAAGAUUGUUAUCGAUUUAAUAUAAUUAAGAUUAGUAGCGAUUUAAUAUGAGAUUGUUAUACUUAGCAUAUAUGACUAUUACAAUUCAAAUAUAAGAUUAUUAGAGAUUAAAUAUAAGAUUGUUAGAGAUUUAAUAUAAGAUUGUUAGACUUAGCAUAUAUAAAUGAUUAUUACAAUUUUAAUAUGAGAUUAGUAGCAAUUUAAUAUAAGAUUAUUAGACUUAGCAUAUAUAUAUAUAUAUGACUUACAAUUUUAAUAUAAGAUUAUUAGAGAUUAAAUAUAAGAUUGUUAGAGAUUUAAUAUAAGAUUGUUAGACUUAGCAUAUAUAAAUGAUUAUUACAAUUUUAAUAUGAGAUUAGUAGCCAUUUAAUAUAAGAUUAUUAGAGAUUUAAUAUAAAAUUAGCAGAGUUUCAAUAUUACGGUUAGCAAAUACAUCCUAUAUACCUAACAAAUAUUUUUUGUAUGCACAGAUGGCUGAUCGCGAUGAGGAACAGAUACUAUACGAAACAAUCGCAGAGGGAAGCAGCCAGUAUUGGAACGAGGAGGGUAACGUGGAGAGGGAUGCAGAGGGGAACGAUGCGGAGGAGGCUAAUGGAAGUCAACCCUCUGCUGGACAGAAGAGGGCACGCGGACAACGAGGUGCCGCGAAGAAGAUAGAGGGUCGGCACAUCAUAACUGAGGUGGACGAAGACGGCCGACCUAGUGCCCCGGCAGAAGCAGCCAGGAAUUUUGUACGCCACAGCGGUUGGGUUGUGAGGGACAACGUGCCUGUCAGCACGGUGUACUGGCGCAGAACAAGGGCACGCGGGGAUGAUGACAGCUUUGUCCCGGACUCAGAGAAAGAGAUGUUGUGGACCACAUUGCUCGAGACGUUCACGCUACCCGCGGGUACGGAUAACUUAGUGAAAUAGUGGACUCUGAAGAAAAUGGCAGAACAGUUCUAGAGCUUCAAGGGAGAUCUCUACAAGAAAUACAUCCUGAAGGGACUAACACCGAACUUCGACGUAUUCCCAAAGCUAAGGGAUCAUUGGGACGAGUUCGUUGCUUACAAGACAGGGCAACAAGGGCAAGAGAUGAUGGCCAGAAACAAGGAAAAUGCCGCCAAGAAGAAGUACCAUCACCACUUGGGGUCAGGCGGAUAUAGCGUCGCGAAGCCGAAGUGGGAGGAGAUGGAGGCUAGCUUGCUUGAGGGGGGUAUCGAACCGGCCACCGCUAAAUGGCCGGAUCGAUCGAAGUUCUGGUACUAUGCUCACGGUGGAACGCUUAACCCAGUUGAUGGCUCCCUUGUCUUCAGCGAUCAGAUAUGCGAGGCUGCCAGUCGACUAACGGACGCAGUGGUGGCCUCUUCUCAGGGCACAUUCCGACCCGACAGAGAGAAGGAUGAGCUGUCACUCGCCCUACAGACUCCCGAGCAUCCAGGACAAACACGAGGGAAAGGCGUGAUUCCCUAGAAGAUUGGAUUUAAGGAGGACAUCCACACGUACAGGAGUCGGAUGAGGAGCAAGAGAGAUACCGAGGCGAAGAUUGCAGAUCUUGAGUACAGGGUAUUGAGCUACGAGCUCAGCAUGCAAGAGGAGGUGGCAAGGAAGGUGGAUGAACGUAUGGCCGCACAUCGGUCCCAGGAUCCCCAGCCGUACAUUCAUCCUGUAAUGGUCAGCACAUCAGGCAAUCGUAGCAGCUGCGCCUCAACGGGGCAGGUCGGAUCACAGAGCAUGGACGCCGUGCAAACCUAGGACGCAACCACCUGCCCUGUUGAUGAGAUCACGCAGCGGACACCAUGUGAGUUGCAUAUUCCCUUCAAGAACUUAUCAAUCAAGGUAUGCUCGUAGUUUGAUGAUUUUUGACUUGUACAUUCCGCAAGUUGCUGCUUAGGUUGAUUACUAAUAGAUAACCUCUCAUCACGUGAAGGUGGCGUCGGGAAUGGCCAUCCCAACGGACCCUUCCGGGACUUACCACUGCAGGCCGAUUCCAGCAGGAUACUCGAGGGUCGAAGUUGAGCUGGUGGAAGCCGCGUACGAGGACCUCGAGUUGGACUACCCAGGAGGGGACGGUGAGACGCAUCUACGAGACACAAGCCACGCCAUCAUACUAUGGCGCAAGCGGUACAUCAUCCUUCCUGGGCGACAAGCGGCGUCUUGUGCACCAUCUCCUCCGGCUCCGCCAUCUCCUCCUGCACCAUCUCCUCCGGUUCCUCCGCCACGUCCUCCUGCACCAUCUCCUCCGGCUCCUCCGCCACCUCCUGCUGCACCAUCUCCUCCGGCUCCUCCGCCUCCACCGUGUCCGCCUGCACCUCCCAAGACAAGGUCUUGCCAAGCUCCACCGCCUGCCCGCACAAGGGCAACGAAGAAGGCGAAAGUCGACGCCACCAAAAACAAGGAGCCACCAUACGAUUGCAGUCAAGAGGAGCUUGAUGCUUAUGCGGCAGGGAGGUGAAGAGGCAACUCAAGCCUCGGAGUACUGAAAAGAAGAUACCUAUUGACCCGAGCGUGAAGAACUUCUUCAAGGGAAUGUCCAAAACAAACAAGGAGGCGUUACAGAUAUCGGACUAUGACCGAACACUUCAGAGAGCCUAUCACAAGAAGUCCAAACCAGUCCCUCAGCUUGGAGAACAACCAAACCAAGAGGUCGAGCCGUUGGUGACCGGCGAAGAUUUUGGCAUAACGGAUUUCAUUGCAGACACUAGUCUAUCUGUGGAUCAGUUGGUUGGAGGCGCACCAAUCCCGAAGGCGGAAGUGGCAUACAAGUUUGAACUCGGUAAACCGCUUGUCAAACCUGAACAGCUGGAGUCCCUACCGACACAGAUGUACAAAUUCCAUGAACGGUACAUGGAAAUGAGCUCCAACAGUAGAGAGAUGUUCGGGGCGAGGAUCAGAAACCCCGACUUCUUGCAAGGAGACGGGGUUACUAAUCGGGACUCCAAACGGUUUCUCCACCAGUGUGUGCAACCGCCGAUUCUUGCUGCAAACAACAACACGAAGAACAAACCAAACCGAAAGAGAAAAAAAAAUCAGCAGAGAGUACAUUACGCAGACAGCACCUAGAAAAGAACAAAUUAAUCACCACAAACCAUGCGACCAAUCCCUGCUCCAACAAAUCUAGGACACCACGAAAAGGGAAAGAUACCUCAACAGAAGGAUUCUUUUCGAUGAACACUACUACAAAACAUUAAAUAGAUGUCGGCGCUAAAGGCCACCGGAAGUGGUAAAAUCGACACCUAGCUAUAGCGUCUUUCCUACUCACGUGCCCACCCACGCGUCCGUCCACAUGCCAAAUUUCAAAAGACCGGCACCUUUUUCCUCAAAUAGGUGCUAGUUUUUAUUGAAUAUCCAGCACCUUUUAGUACCCAUCCCAUCGGAGUAGUUGACACAGAAUCUUUGUAAGAACCGGAUGUCACGCCCCGAACUAGUCCCGACCGGAACUAGCCCGUGACGCUCCAAUUUAACCUGUUAAUCGAUACCAGUCCCAGAAAACAGUGCUGGUAUCAUAGGGAGACAGAAUAUCACAGCAACAGAGGUCUCUUUAUUAUAGAGUAGAGGUAUAGUCAUGUUGGGCUGCGGACAGAUCCCGAGCUCACAACUGCAUUACAAAAGGAAAACGGAAGCCAGGACUUGGACCAAUCAACACAGGCACGACUUGGGAACUAGGCCGAAACCCUAAAACUCAUCGUAGCCGACUUGCUCCUGGAAGAACUCCUCGUCAGCAGGAUCCACUUCAUCUUCUUCAGCAACUGGGGGGAGAUUAUUUAUAUAGAGCAAGGGUGAGUACGGGAGUACUCAGCAAGCCAGGGGAAAUAAGUGUUUAAUGCAGGCUUCAAGGGAAGGCUGCUGUUUUUGCAAUUGAUUUUAUUUGAACUCUUUUCUGAAAACAACUAAGUGCUUCUCAAACGACACGGAUGAGACAAUGCGUCUCGUCCGGUCGGAGUAUGUGCAAUGUAUCAAUCUUUAGGAUUGCAACACGGUUGGCACCCGGCCAACAGCUUUUCAAACGGCCACCCGGGCCAACAACUUUUCAAACGGCCACCCGGGCUAGCUGAUCCCAUCAGCUGCAGAUUUUUCAAACAUCGAACCCCUUUUCACAACAGCAAUUUCACAAGCAGUAGUCAAACAAAACUACGCUAGGAAUCACCUCACAUCCGCCCAUGACCGUGGGCACGGGUGUUCGAACAGUUUAAUGACCUUUGCAGAGGGGGUACACUUUACCCACAUGACAUUACUAACCCGGAUCAUCCAGCCCGUGGGGAUCAGCCACGUCGGGAGACCUCCAAGCUUUCAUGACAAGGCAUUUCGAAAGCCGACACAGGUUUACCAUAUGCCGACGAGAGGGGUCCCAGACCAACAACAGGUUAGGUCCCAGACCAUACUGUGCCAGGAAGCCCAGGGGUCCUCUCCGACACCACCCCGGCGAAUCCACAUGUCUCUCGGCAUCAAGGCUCCCCCGAUUAGCAAUUUACUCAGCCAGGGGCGUCCCAUUCCACCCAUGUGGUCGUACUUGUCUUAUGUUCGGAUGAAAUUUCCAAGGAAACGGUCCUUAAGUGCAAGAGCGGGAAACCGUACACCCGGUACGUUCCCCGGUCCGCGGUUUUGGAAAUUCAUUUAGUUCGCAAGCACCGACCCAGGUGUCGGGUUUUCCAAGUCUUUUGUAAAACUCCAGUUUUACCCAAGUUGUUACUCAGAUUUUAAGUUUGAGGGCGACCGUCGAUACUUGCACAGAGUGCACGAGUAUCGAGGCGCAACUGGGUGGUUACAAGGGGACAUGGUAUAGCAAUUAACAAAGGAAGGAUCAAAUGCGACAAAUUAGGUAGGUCCGCCAAUCUGCCUUGCAGACGGGACAAACAGAUUAAGUGCGAUCCUAUCAAUGCAUAAUAUUUUGCAAGCAACAUAAAUAAAUUUCAAAUAUAGGCUCAAGAUGUUCAAAGGUGGCUUGCCUUGCUCGAGAUCUGGAGCUUGAUCCUCGAAAUCCUCGCACUGCGGGUCUUCGGGCUCCGGAACUACACGCGAAACGGAACAACUCAACAAACGGCGAAAAUUAAGCCCUAUUAAUGACCUCUAAGCGUGCCAUUAGAUAGAUCUCGAGAUUUGCGGAAUUUUGGAAGUUGAACGGAGUCAAACGGAUUUACGGUUGGGAAGAUAUUGAAUUUCUAAGAUUAUUAAAUUUUUGAUCUAAAGGAAAAGGAUUUAAUUAAAUCCUUUUUGGAAAAGAAAAAGAAAAGAAGGGAGGGAUGGAAUAUAGACUUUUCUCGGACGGCUAGGGCGCGGCCCAAGAGAAAUGGAGCGGUCCGGCCGAGCUAAAUGGGCCGGCCGGCCCAAGGCGGCCCAAACUCGCACGCGCGCGGGAGGGAGGAGAGAGAGAGCCGGUGGACUGGGCUUACCACGCGCGGUCCCGGGUGGGACCCGCUUGUCAGCGGCUCGGCUCACCGUGCGGAGGGAGCACGCGACGCACGCGCGCGGGCGGGGAAGGGACGCGGUGCAUGCGCGCGGUCCGCGGUGGACGCAGGUGCGGCGGGCCCACGCGCAGCCUCACGGCUCGCGGUGGAACGCGCGCACGGGGAGGGACUAACCGGGGUCGGCUCGAUCCGGUCUAGGCUGAGCUGGUGCCGACGUGGCGCCUACGUGGCGGCCACGUGGGCUGGCGGGAGGUAGACGACGACCCAGCCGCGAAUGGACGGCGGGUGGCGGCGGCGAGCGGCGGAGCGAACCACGGUGAUACAGGCAAAAGCGAGCACACCGGGCGGUUGCACGGGACGAGGGGAGACGAGCCAACGGCUCGGAUUCGCCGGAGGUUGCUCGACGGCGGCGGAUUGCGGCGGCGGCAACCGGCGGCGGGAGAGGAGGAAAACGGCAACGAGGUCACGAGAGGCCGAUUCCCGGCGGUGAGAGCAUCUACGCGGCUUCGGGAACUCGACGCUAGCGUCGGAUUGGGCGGAACUACGCCGAGCGAGGCCGGCGACGAGCGGGUGCUACGGAGCUCGGGCGGCGACGGCGGCGAGCACACGGCGAGUGACGGCAACGGUCGGGGCGGCACCGGCUAACUACGGGGAGUCUACUCAAGCUACUACCGAAAGCUAGGGGAAGGAGAUGGAGCGAGGAGGAAGAACGGAGAGAGACACUACCGUGCGGGACGGGGCGCAGUGACGAGAGGCCGACGGUGCGGGAGUGAUCUCUCCGGCCUCGGACCGAGGAAGAGGAAGAAGAGGGCGCGCCCGGAGUCCCCUUCCGCGUCCACGAACGCACCGGCUCUCCCGGCGCUUGGCGAUGGACGGCGGAGGCGAGGCAGAGCACGGGAGCGGCGGCAAUGGUGAGGAGGCGAAUGGGAGAGGAAAGGAAGGGAGGGGGAAGACGGGUUUAAAUGGGCGGCAAUGUCGGUUUGAGAGAGGGGAACCGACAUGGGCGGUCAAGCCGGCGAGCUGGCGCUCCGGCUAGCGUCCAAAGCGGCGACAGGAGGUGACGCCGGCGAGAGGGGAAAAAGAGGAGGAAAAGAGGAAAAGGAGGGGGAGAAAGGGGGCUUGCCCCUUUGCCGAUUCGGGAAAAAGGGGGAGGGGAGCGGGGGCGACGCGGCAGAGAGAGGAGGGGCGCGGCCUCCUUUCCUUGGCGGCUUGCGCGCGGAGUGGCGGGGGCCGGGCGGUGACGACGGCGAUGACGGUGGGAUGGUUUGGAGCGGCGCGACGACACGGGCGACAGGCGCGGGCUGGCGCGGUAGAGGGUGACGGCGGCGGCGACCAGGCGGUCGGCCACUCGGCACGCGCGCGCGGGAAGCAACGGGCGGCGCGGCUGGGCAGCGGGACCGGGCGACGCGGACGGCGCAGACGACGCGGCUCGGGCAGGAAACCACGCGGGCGCGCGCACGCGAACACGGCGUGCGGGAAGCGGCAGCGAGGGAGCAGAGAGGGAAGACUCGGCUCGGCGCGGGCGGCUCACGCGCGCGGGCAGAGCGGAGGGGGAGGGGCGCUCGGCACGACCCUCGCGCACGCGCGCGCGGCGCGCGGGCGGAGCGGAGGAAAGGAGAGAGAGAGAGAGAGAGCGCCCGGGAGAGAGGGGGCCGGGGGAGAGAUGGAGAUGGGCCGGGGGAGAGGGGAAGAUGGGCCGAGGGAAAAUCGGCCCAUCGACCCUGGGGGAGGCAAAAUGGACUUUUACGGAGGAAUUUGAUUUGGAGGGAUUGGAUUCGGAAUUGAACUCGACGAUAGAGCGGGGAUUGAGAUCAUGAGAUGGCACGGGCACUAGACAACAAUCAAAGAAACAACUUUCGCAAUUAGGGUUUUUAGGAGAUAAUUUUCCCGCUAGGCGCCACGACGGAACGGGCGCUACAGACCAACUCCCCUAACAAGAAUCUCGACCCCGAGAUUCAGCACCUAAGGGAGCAGCUCCGGGAACUCGGCGCGGAGAAGAUCUUCUCGCUCCCAGGUUGCCUCAUCUUCAGAAUGAUUGCUCCAUUGGACCUUGUAGAACUUGAUGGUCUUCCUUCGAGUCUGACGUUUUGCCUCUUCAAGAACCUUGAUCGGUCUUUCCUUGUACGUCAGAUUCUUUUCCAGCUCGAUAUUACCCAGGGGGACUUGCUCUUCUGGAACUCGAAGACAUUUCUUUAGCUGGGAUACGUGGAACACGUUGUGCACAUCUGCGAGACCUUCAGGUAACUCAAGCUGAUAAGCCACUUCGCCACGUCUGGCGGUUAUGAGGUAGGGGCCGAUGUAGCGGGGUGCUAACUUGCCGGACAUCCCAAACCUCCUCAUACCACGGAGGGGUGAUACCCGCAGGUAUACAUGAUCUCCUUUUUCGAACUCAAGGUCAUGCCUUCGAUUGUCAGCGUAAUUCUUCUGACGGUUCUGUGCUGUCUUCAAACGUUCUCGUAUCAGCUUAACUUGUUCUUCUGCUGACUUGAGUAUGUCAGGACCGAAUAUCAGCGCUUCGCCCACCUCAUUCCAGCAUAAGGGAGUGCGGCACUUUCUUCCGAACAUUGCCUCGUUCGGCGACAUCUGAAUGCUGGCCUGAUAGCUGUUGUUGUAUGAGAACUCAGCAUACGGCAAACAACGAUCCCAAGUGCCUUCGAAAUCCAGGGCACACGCACGUAGCAUGUCUUCUAGGAUUUGGUUUACCCUUUCUGUCUGACCAUCGGUCUGCGGAUGGUAGGCCGUACUAAAAUUUCAUUCUAUUCUAUUUGGACUUUGUGUCAAGAACCAUAUAAUAAGAGGUUGUAGCUGUGAUUGAAGUAAAGGCUAGGUUUAAUAUAUAUUAUAAAAAAAUACUGAGGAAAGGUGGUCCAAUAUGCAAUUUACUCUUAUUAUAUUGAUCCUAGUGGUUGUUUGGAAUAAUGAAGGCUUAGCAAACACGCAACGAGGAUGUGCUUAAUUUGCUGACAUAUCUCUUCCGUUCUUGAAUAUUGAUCUUUCGUUUUUCUUUCCUAGGGUGACCCACACCCACUAGGAAUCGAAAAACUCUGCACCUGCUGGUAUGCAUGAAUUAUUUAAAGUUGGCUACUUGGCCUUAUAGAAUUCUUUCAGACAGCAUGGAGAUGGAGAAAUUUCCCACCAAAUAUUGACCCAUACCCCACAUGAUUUGGAUGGAUCCCUUGAUCCGAUCACGAAUGCUUAGGUGGACUUUGUUUCUAAAUGUAGAAAUGUUAUUCAGUAACCAUUGUGGUUUGUUCCAUAAACUAAAUUAAGGUUGGGUUUUCUGAUGGCAUAAAAAUCAUCAUUUACAACUGAUUAAAUAUUUAAAAUUUAGUUGUUGAAACACUGAAAUUAUAUAUAUCUUCACAACAAGUUGCACCAAAUAAUAUUGUAUGUAUAUAAAAUACUAAUAAUACAGCCUAUAUGCCAAACUGAUCAGUUGAUCAAUCAAUUAAGGAACUAGUCCACCAAUCAAAGAUAAGACAUGCCUCGUCGGAUCGAUAUAAUCGCCUUAGCCGUCGAGCACAUGAGCAACGUGCUGCGUCCUCCAAUGACUACGAUUCAACGACGGCAACCCCCAAAAAAAAUAGGAGAAAAGAAAAAGAACACGUCGCAUGCAUUCAUGCAUGUACCAAACACAAAAUCAUUAACAAUUAAUCAAUUAAUAAAAAGAAAUGAGAGUGAGGCCAGGAGAGUUUUAUUUUAUCCUAAUUAAUCCGCUCUCGCCGAGCAGAGCCAAGCAUCAUGGCUACUUGCCAAGUUGCCAUGCAAAUUGUAGGAUUAAUAAUCGAUUUAUUUUGCUGACAUCUUGGGAGCUCAUCUGGCUAUAAAUAUAUACCUUGAUCGAUCGCGAGUAAUAUCGCAUCAGCAUUCAACGAACACACACACAAUCGGAAUCGAUUAAGAGAGCAAAUUGUGUAGUAGUGUUGCAUAUGGAGACACCAAAGAUAUCGGGAGUAGCACUUGCGGCAGCCAUUGCCGUCGUUCUGGCCAUGGCGACCACGCCGGCGGUGGCGCAGAACUCGCCGCAGGACUUCGUGGACCUCCACAACGCGGCGCGACGCGUGGAGGGCGUCGGCGAGGUGGUCUGGGACGACGCCGUGGCGGCGUACGCGGAGAACUACGCGGCGGAGCGCGCCGGCGACUGCGCGCUCAUCCACUCCGGCAGCUGGGAGAAGGCCGGCUACGGCGAGAACCUCUUCGGAGGCUCCGGCAGCGAGUGGACGGCAGCGGACGCCGUCAACAGCUGGGUGGGGGAGAAGGAUCUGUACGACUACGACAGCAACAGCUGCCUGGGGUCGUGGGACUCGUGCCUCCACUACACGCAGGUGAUGUGGAGCCGCACGACGGCGAUCGGCUGCGCCCGCGUGGACUGCGACAACGGCGGCGUCUUCAUCACCUGCAACUACAACCCCGCCGGCAACUUCCAGGGAGAGCGCCCCUUCGAGCGUGGCCUCACUCUCUCUGCUUAAUAAGUUAUUAAUACAGUAUUUACUUUAACUAUGUAUGGAGUAUGAUAUAAAUGUGCGAAAUAAUAAUUACGGGGAUCUUAUUAUAUAUAUAUGUACGUUGUCGUUCGAAUAAAAGAAGAAAAUAAAUGAGAAAAUUAAUUCCAUUGUCUGCAUGUAAUUUGAAAGGACGACCAUACAAUCAGAGACUGGGUGGUGCUGUGGUGGAACAGUCCUAGUGGCCUGUCCAGGGGAAACUAAUUAAGAAUUGAUUCUUAGAAGCAGCUGGUUAGUAGACAACUUUUGAGGAUCUGUAAAAGUUGGUUUCCCAGCUUCUAAUUUCUUGUUCAUUUUCUGAAUUCUGGGCCUAUUUGGCAUAGUUCCAUCACCAGCUCCACCUCUCCUAAAACUGGAGCUCAGCCAAACAGUUUCAGCUCCACCUAAUAGCAGCGAAGCUGGGUGGAGCGCUCUCAUAAAAUGAACUAGAGAUGUGGAGCUGUGUUUAGUCAGCUCCACAACUCCACUUCAGACCCAACUACUGGAGUUAAAUUUAGAAGUUGGAGCUCUACCAUGCAACUAUAGCUUCUCAGAAUCUGUACCAAAAGCUAUACUGUUUGGGGGGGAGUUUCUGAUUCUGGGAAAAGCUGCAGCAGCUGGAAGCUCCCCCAAACAGGCCCUAGGUGUCUAUUUGGGAAAAGCUUUUAGCAGCUGCAACUUCUCUCAGAAUCUUUAACUCUCCCUAAACAAUUUAGAUUGUCAUUCACAUUAUAAGAAUUUGUAGUAGAUAUAUAAUUCAGAAAAUGAACUAUAACAAAAAUUUGGAAAACUAACUUUUUCAUAUUCUCAUGAACUGAGAACAAAUCUGUUAAUUCUCACAAUUUUAAGCUCUACCAAAAAGAAUUGAACAUCUGGGCUGACCUAUGGUGGGAAACUACCAAUUGGGGCUAAGUUUGAAUAGGCUUCAUCUGGUCCAACGAAUUACAGCCCACAAACAUGCAUGUAUGAGCUAAUAUUUCAAGCCUACAUAGAUGGGCUGGCGAUGACGCCCAUCUAAUGCCUUCAUCAGGCUAGACUUGAAGCCCGUGAGGAUAGGGUGCGAAACUCCUAUGGCACGAUUGAUUGCUUGGGGCGAUCGGUUCCUCUGCCCUACGCGGUAUUUUUUUUUUGGCACCACUUUACUUUUCUGUUUUACUAAGUUUAUACCCCCGAAGUUUAUACCUAUUAAGUUUACACAUCUAAAGUUUACAUACUUAAAGUUUGUUGACCUAAAAUUUGUAAGUCAAAAGUUUAUAUAUCAGAUUCAAGUUCAUCUUUAAAUGUAUUUAAAUUUAAAUUCAAAUUUGAAUCGGUAUAUAAACUUUUGACCUAUAAAAGAUGUGUAAACCCUAUAAGUAUAAACUUUAGGUAUAUAAACUUAAAAAAACUAUAUGGUGAAAAAAAAAGAAAAGUGGUGAAAAAAAAACUAUAGGGUGUCCAUGUAAAUCGAUCCCAAUAAAAGCAUCAAGGAAGCUCAUAGUGUAUGCAAAGUAAGGGAAAACCUAAUUUUGUAGCUAAGAAAAAAAUAGCUUUAGCUAUAUGGCCGAGGGGUAAAAUAUUAGAGUGCUCAUUACUAAUUUACUUCUUGACAUUACCAUAUACCUUGAAAAAUAACUACUAGUACGUACGUACUAUUUAGAGUUCAAUUUGUUUGUUUGAAAGUUUGUGAAGUGAUACUAGAUAUUGAUCUAUAUUGUUAAUUAUUUUUCAACAAAAUAUAUGAUUAUUAUUUGGAUUGACAUUUAGUUAAGCAACAAGCUGGGGACAUAUUCCUAUAAGAGACAAAGUUAUUAAUAUUUCUCCGCAAUUUGAUAAAUUAAUAUCGACAUGCUAUGAUGUCUGACCUAGUUAGACAUACGUGUAAGAAUUGGUCAGUGGGAAAUCGAUUACUAAUCAAAAUAAUCAAGUGGAUCAAAUUAAGUCGAUCCGGGCAUGUACUUGUUGCUGAUGAACGUCACAGGGUAGAAAGGAAGAAAACACGGCAGGAAAGCAUGGUUACCCAUAUUCCAAUGGAUGCACCCACCUAUAUAUAUAGCUACUAGCCAGUGCACGUGUAACUUUAUUUUUUAUGAAAAAAAUAGUGAUCAAAGAUAGAAUAUUUUUUAAAGUUCGACCACAAAUUUAUGUAAAAAAUUAUCAAUAUCUAAAACACUAAAUUGGUUUUAUUAAAUAUAACAUUAAAUAUAUUUUAAUAAUAUAUUUGUUUUCUGUUGAAAAUAUUACUAUAUAUUUCUGUAAACUUAAUCAAACUUCGAUUUUGAUAAACACCUGGCGAUAAUAAAAUCGACAAAUAUAUGCAGGAUCAGGUGACUAAAAUCAGACAGCUCUUUAUUUAUUACUACCUCCAUAUUUUAAUGUAUGACGCCGUUAACUUUUUGUCUAACAUUAGACUAUUCGUCUUAUUCGAAACAAUUAUGUAAUUAUCAUUUAUUUUAUUGUGACUUGAUUCAUCACCAAAUAUUCUUUAAGCAUGGCAUAAAUAUUUUAUAUUUGGAUAAAAAUUUUGAAUAAAACGAAUAGUCAAACGUUGGUUGAAAAAUCAAUGGCGUCAUACAUUAAAAUACGGAGGGAGUAAUUUGUAAUAAAAAUACACACCGGAUACAUAUAUAUCUGUAUUUGUAGAUACUCAAUACGUCUGCAUCAUGACGUACUUAUUGCAUCCAACACACUGAUCAUGCAUACGCAUGCAGAUCGAUGUGCGUACAUAUAUACAUACGAACAUACAUAGUAGUUCGUACAUAUAUGCGCAUAUAUAUCUACUGAGAGCAGAAAGAUUUAUACGUACAAUAUAUACUAGAGUAGUAGCAAAAUAUAUUCCAUAGCAUAUACGUUACGUACGUACGUAUACGUAUACGUAUACGGUAGCUAGUACGGCCUCUGGUUUUGGACGUUGCCGGCGGGGAAGUAGGUGCAGAUGAAGAAGACGCCUCGGUUGGCGUUGCAGGCGACGGCGGCGCAUCCGACGGCGGUGGUGUCGCGCCACACGACCUGCGUGUAGUGGCCGCACAUGGCGCCGCCGACGCAGCUGUUGCUGGCGUAGUCGUAGGAGCCCUUCUCCGCCACCCACUGGUCGACGGAGCUCGCCGCCGUCCACGCCUGCACGGAGGGGUUCCACGACAGGUUCUCGCCGUACUGAUAGUUGUUGCGAUCGGAGUGCCGCAGCGCGCAGUCGCCGGCGCGCUGGUUCGCGUAGCCCUGCGCGUACGCCGCCAGGUUGUCGUCCCACGACAGCGCCGGGACGCCGACGGCGCUCCGGGCGGCGUUGUGGAUGUUGACGAUGUCGGUCGCCGUGGUCUGGGCCUGCGCCGUCGAUGUGGUGGCCAGAACCACCGCCAUGGCCGCCAUCACCACUGCAAAGCUCGCUCCUCUCUCCAUUGCAAGCUCGCAGUUGAUUUGAUUGGCAGUGUACGUUCGAUCGACUGCGCAAUUAGAGUAGAACUAGAGCUAUAGCUAGCUAGUAGAGGUGAUGAUUAAUACAUGCAAUUUCGGCAGUAUUUAUAGACGGGCUGGCUCUCGAUCGAGCCAUGGACUUAAUUAAGCACAUGGCAAAGAAGAAACGGUAAACGUUGAUACGGCGGACUGGUCCCUAAUUAUUAAGAGAAAGAAAUGGGAGAAGAGCUGAAGAGGUGAUAAGACCAGAAAGUCAUGAACAAAGCACUCAUGGGAAAGUGGAUAAUAUGCGUGGCAAAACUUGUUACUACAGACCAAAUUCUCUUACCCAGAAUGUCUGAAAAUUCUUCAAAUCGGGUGCCCGCGCCUCCGCGCCGAAAAAAAUGGGGCACCGCGCCUCCGUCCACCACGCGCCCCACCACACGCACUGUUGCAAUAAAUCUGCCACAUAUUACGGAAACACUCUAUUAACAGGAAUCCGUUUCAUUUUUUUUUCACCAAUAAUGUUUCAACAAGUAUAUUCGUAUUGUUACACUAUGUAUAGAUCAAAUGUUGCAGAGAAUUGAAACAUCCUUUCGCUAUUUGCUGAAACAUUAUUUUUAUAUGCGGUGAAAUAGCUUCAAAAACCGUUGUUUCAUGCGCUGUAGCAAAAUGUUUUAUGAGGUGAUUUGGUUGUAUUUAAGCUUUUUAAACGAUUGGACCAUUUUCAAUCAACGUAGUGAAACAAUUCCGAUCUAUUUGGUGGAACAACCCCGAUUUUUUUAAAAAAACGGGUGUCCGAUUUAUAUACGCCUCGCCAAAAUGUGUAAAAACAGGAGUGGGAUGGAGUCGAUCAGCUAGGAAAGGAUGUGUCAGAUGCUGGAAACUUUUAGCGCUUCCCAAAGAACAAUACUCUAUGCCUAUUAAAAUACAAAAUAUUUUUUUGGGCAACUAGAACUUAUUUUGAUGGAUGAUUUCUCGAAAGAGCCGUAUGUGAAAAUUAACUUGUACGCGGGGUCAUGAAAUUCGUACCCCAUGCAAAUCCUUAAUUUUUAUAGGCCCUUGGUAGUACAGUUGAUCGAUUCAAAUAAAUGCUGCCGAAAAUAGGUUACGUUUUCUUUACCAGAGUUAAGUAAUUGAGUGAUCAAAGUAGCAGUAAUAUUCUACUCUUUUAUUAAAAUCGGAGGUGUAGUAUGUAAACACCACCUGUUGAUGAGGACAUCACUUCGUCGGAUACGCUCGUAACUUCACACGCUCCAAUAAUAAUUUCAAGUCCAAGACCAGUUCGGCCUCCGGAGACAGCACUGACUUCAAACGGACCUAGCGCCUUCAUGCUAUCUCCGAUUUGGGUGAUCUUGGACUUCGUGGAAAUCUUAUCUCGCUACCUUUCAAACGCAUCCGGUUUCAUGUCCAAAUUCAUCUCGAGUCAACGGGAAUCACCAAAAUAAGACAGUGCUGUUGCUGAAACCGAACUUGGGCCUUGGGCCUUGUAAUAGACUAGGCCCAUCCCGGAAGUGUCUCCCUCCACCUCCACAAAUUAGCACUUAACCCUAGCUUUAUUUUCCUCUAUAAAUAACUUUGUAUAUCCUCAAAAACAAUUGGGUUUUGUUUAGUUGAAUUUUGCCAAGUGCCAUUCACCUUGUCUCUAGUCCUCGCUCGAUUAGUCGGCGACUAUAGAUUCAGAGCCCCCAAUAGUUGGUGUGUUGAUUUGCCGGGUCGAUUAGAUCUACCACUUCAAUCGCAACUAUUCCUUUGUGCUUAAUUCCCUAUUUGCAAUAUUUAGAUUGCAUCUUAUCUUGUUCUUGCAGUGUUCUCUCGUUUGCAUUGCAGGGAUCAUCAACCGCGCGUCACGGUUGGUACGACAUCGUUUGUGGUGUAGCGAUUGCACGGCGUCCUGGAUUUGUUCUGGUUGGUAGCCACAUCGCAAACGUCGCACUCGAUCAAAGCGAGAGUUAUCCCCCUCACCAGAAGAUCGGGCCACGAGAGAGAGCGUCAUCAGUUGGUAUCAGAGCUUCAGUUGCUUGGUGAGGAUUUUAGUUUUGUAAUUUUUUUCCCAUCGUCUACCAUACAGCCGCAAUAUUUUUUUCCAUCACCAAACUUUAGUUUGAGCCUUUCAAAUUUCAUUCAGUAUUGUGUUCUUGAGUUUUGGUCCAUUGUCGUGUCGAAAGUGCUGGUUUUAGUCGUAGCUCAGUCUGAGUUUUGAGCUUUGCAUUUGGUCGUCGUCGUCUCGGUUGAGCAGUAGAUCGGUUUGAGAGAAAAAAAAUCCAGAGUUUCUGUUGGGUGAGAUUUCUUUCCAGUGCAUGCAUGCAUGGAAUCGCGGUACGUGGUUACCAAAUAAAUAGCGCCUCAAAUCAGGGACUAAUCUUGGUUAUUUCCUAGUUAGUUUCUGUGUCUAUCCGAAGUGCAUGUGCCAAGGAUCGGUUUCCAUAUUCCUGGCACCACCCAAAUAGGAGGUACGUAGUUUUCUCUGUAACUACACAUUCACACGCACAAGCACCUGGUUGGUUGGUCUUUGGUCAUUUGAUUUUUUUUUCUUCUAGGCUUGAGUCCUUUGUAAUCUUAUUUACCAGCUAUUCCAUUUGGUAGAUACCGCUUGCCAAAAAAAAAAGAAAUAAAGAAAAGGCAGAAGGUGCAAAAAAAAAAAGAAAAAAAAAGAAAAAAAGAGCCGCACCAAAGAAAAAACAGAAAAAAAGAGAAAAAAAAUCAGAAAAAGAAAGAGUGGAAUUUUUUUUGUUGGAAUCUUGGAGAGAGUUGCUUACUAUAGCGAGUUGUGGAUUGUCCGAGUGUGAUCAUUUGCUUGCUUAAGCUAGGAUUGAGUCUAGGCUACGCCAGCAAUUUUGACUAGUACUUUGGACUAUUAUUCAAUUUCGCAAAUCUGUUUGAUUUUUGCUAUUCCUUGUGAUAUAGUUAAGCCUACCAAGAUCCACAUACUCCUAACCUUUACAGGUCCGGCCUUGCAAUUGCUCCACUCAUCAAGCGUGUCAUUGUGCCACGAACCAGCCACGGUGAUUGACCUGUUUUGCAUUCUUUGAGAAUAUUAUAAGAAUUUGGUAUAUGCUUGAGUGUUGAGUGCCUUCAAAAGCUCCACAUAUAUAUAGAUUGUUAGGAACUGACACUUUCUUGUGAGUUUCUUUUGCUUGCUAACGAUGUCAGGUACAAGUUCCGACGAACCAACACUGGAGAAUCUAGCGCAUAAACUGAAGGGUAUGGAAAAUUGGUAUGAAGAGUUGAUGCGUAAUAGUAAAUCAUACAAGGAAAGCACAGAUAAACAUUUAAAAACCUUAAGUGAAAGCCUGGUGAAAGUAGUGGAUCAAAUUGAGAAAAUGAAUCAAUCACAUAAACAAUUAACUGAAAACAUUCAGAAUAUGAUUAUUGAACAUGAAAAUAUUGUGCGACGCAUUGGUUUACUUGAGGCUGCAGGUGAAGAAGGUGCAGGUGCCACUGCUCAUCGACACCAAAUAUAUGACGAUGAAGACGAAGAGCAAUCUGUUGCUGAUGAUGUGGAGGAAGACGAGAGUGUUGGAAAUAGAAGACAACGUCGAGUUAGGGACAAAGAUGAUCCUUUAUCUAAGGUAAAAUUUACUAUGCCUUCUUUUGAUGGUAAGUUUGAGCCUUCUGUUUAUCUAGAUUGGGAGUUAGCUGUUGAGCAAAAAUUCUCUUGCUAUGAUUUUCCUGAUAAUAAGAAAGUUAAAGCUGCCAGUAGUGAAUUUACCUCCUUUGCAUCUCUAUGGUGGAAUAAUAUAUGUGGUAGAGGACUUAGACCUAGAACAUGGGAUGAUAUGAAACGUACAAUGAGGUCUAGAUUUGUUCCUUCUUACUAUGCUCGUGACAUGUUAAAUAAACUGCAACUUUUAAGACAAUGUUCCAAUUCUGUAGAAACAUACUAUCAAGAGAUGAUGAUUGCUUUGUCACGAUGUGAUUUGCAAGAAACUGAGGAUGCUAGAAUUUCUAGGUUCUAUGGAAGUCUUAAUAGAGAGAUUCGGGAUAUUCUUGAAUAUAAAGAAUACAAUACCAUGAAUAGAUUAUUCCAUUUUGCAUGCAAAGCUGAAAGAGAAGUGCAGGGACGCAACAAGCAUAGAAGUUCUUUUGCAGGUGCUACUUCCACACGACAGUCAACACCACGUCAAGCUACUACUGCCGUUCGUUCACCUACUUCUACGCCAUCCAAUGCUCAAGAAAAAAGCAAAAACGCUUCAGUUCAGACUCCAGCCAAGAGUGCAACUUCAGUAGCUUCCACUGGACGUACCCGUGAUAUUACAUGUCAUAAGUGCCAUGGCAUUGGACACAUUGCACGUGACUGUCCAAAUCGGCGAGCUCUAUUUGUGAAUGAUGAUGGUGAGUAUACUUCUACUAGUGAUUGUGAUGAUGAAUAUGCUUUAGCUGCCACUGACCACGCAGGAGGACAAGAUAAUGAUGACAUCGAGGAAGUCCAUUUGCAUCCAGAGUCGCUAGAUCAGUAUCCUAGCCUAAUUGUCAAGCUAGCACUUAGUGCUAAAGAGAAGUGUGAAGAGCAAAACCAAUGUCACAAUUUGUUCCAAAGCAAAGUUCUUGUGAAAGACCAUACCGUCAAAAUGAUUAUUGAUAGCGGGAGUUGCAACAAUUUAGCAAGUGAAGAGAUGGUCAAGAAGCUUGGCUUGACUACCCAUCCACCUCCACGAAUUAGCACUUAACCCUAGCUUUAUUUUCCUCUAUAAAUAACUUUGUACAUCCUCAAAAACAAUUGGGUUUUGUUUAGUUGAAUUUUGCCAAGUGCCAUUCACCUUGUCUCUAGUCCUUGCUCGAUUAGUCGGCGACUAUAGAUUCAGAGCCCCCAAUAGUUAGUGUGUUGAUUUGCCGGGUCGAUUAGAUCUACCACUUCAAUCGCAACUAUUCCUUUGUGCUUAAUUCCCUAUUCGCAAUAUUUAGAUUGCAUCUUAUCUUGUUCUUGCAGUGUUCUCUCGUUUGCAUUGUAGGGAUCAUCAACCGCGCGUCACGGUUGGUACGACAUCGUUUGUGGUGUAGCGAUUGCACGGCGUCCUGGAUUUGUUCUGGUUGGUAGCCACAUCGCAAACGUCGCACUCGAUCAAAGCGAGAGUUAUCCCCCUCACCAGAAGAUCGUGCCACGAGAGAGAGCGUCAUCACCUGUACGCACACAAGUUGCCUGAUUUUUUUUCCUAGUGGACACACUCGUGUGUAAAAAGGAUAUGCUUUGCUAGCUACUUCCUCCGUCCCAAAAUAUAACUAUUUUUUAUUUCGACAUAGUUUUCGAUAUGCUAUUUUGAUUAAUAAUAUCUAAAAAGAGUUGUAUAUUAUGAUAGUUCGUUUAAUGAUAAAUCUAGUAACAUCAAUUUUAAAUGAUGUAUUUUUUUAUUAUUUUAUUAAUAGUUAAAGUUAAAAAUGUUAGACUAGUCUAUAAAUAUUUUUAUUUUGGGACGGAGGUAAUCCCAGACAUAUGCUUUUUUCUAGAUAAUGUGACAUGGAUAUGUAGGCCAGAAAAUUAAACAUCAAGUUGCUAAAGAAAGUAUGAGGAAGGUAACGUAAGUAUGUGUGCCAAGACUAAAGAAGUGUGGAUCCAUGCAUAUAUGGCUAGUUUGCUACAAUUAAUUGACCACUUAUAAUUAACUUUAGUUACAUUAGUAGGAGUAGUUAGGAUUAAAAAAACUAGAGUAAAAUACAGUAGCGGCCCUUAAACUUGAGGGCGGAUGUCAUCCAGGUCCAUUAACUUGCAAAUCGUGUAAUUAGACCACUAAACUUGCUAAAUGUACCAUCGCCGGUCCAAAAUGCCAUUUGACCGCGGUCGCGCCGACGUGGCAUGCCACGUGCACAGCUGAGCUGGACCACACCGUGCGUGACACACCGCCCACGCCUUGUCGUUUUUCAUCCAGGCCCCUCUCUUUUUCUCAUUUGGUUUCCACCACUGCUUCUUCUUCCCUGAAGCGCCCAAAAUCUAAGCGCCGACUAGGGUUGCGAUUGAGGGCAAGUUUCGGCGGCGGAGCAGGUUGCGGCAGGUUCGUCGGCGGAGCAGGUCUCGGCAGGGUUCGGCGACGGAGUAUGUCGUGGCAGGGUUCUUUGGCGGAGCAGGUCUCGGCGGGCUUCGGCGGCGGAGCGGCUGGGUUGAAGGCGAUGGCAGGCUCGAGCUCCAGUUGGAGCACAACACGGUGGGCGACAGAAAUAUCCAGGCAAGGUAAAACCUUUCCAUCUCCCAUUCGGUACCUGGAGAGUACUUUGUUGAAGUCAGUUGGUUUAUUCAUUUUGAAUGUGCAGAAUGGUGGAUGCAAAUUACGGCAGUGGUAUGAACCAGGGACAACGUCGUAUUUGAAGCAGGUUUUGAAUGAUUUAGUCAGCACUGUUCGUGAAGUGAAGACAGAGAACUCUGAAAUUAGAGCAUCCCUUGCCAACUCAAGAGCUAUGAUUGAUGGACUUGUCACUGAACGCAAUGUCUAUGAAGCAAAGAGCAGGGGACAAAAAGAGGAAUGUGGCUCAGUUACUAAAAUGGCCUAUAGAAUCAAGAUGUUAGAAGAGAGUAGAAGAUCUAUGUUGUCAGUUAUUGUUGGUUUUGUAGUAGUCAUAUUUGCACUAUUGCUUCUUAGGUAGAUACCAAAGUUUGAUGGAUAUGGAUGUAUUGGUGCUGGUGUGUUUUGUGUCAGCUGAAAUAAGGCACUUGAGUGACCUUUUGUGUAUGCUGAAUCUGAACCAUGUAUGGAAAAUGUAUGCUAAAUGCUAUUAUGUGAAGCUGAAAUCUGAGAUUUUGUUCUGAAAAUCGACAUCUCUAAUUUUUUUCAGCAGACAACUGUUAUUUUGUUCUAGCAUAUGAAAUGUCCUGUAAAACUGUCAUAUGGAAAUAGCAAACAUGCAUCAUGCAUUACAGGCAGUAAUUUCGCAUAUUCAUCACAAUACCAAAUUUCUGGCAUUUAGUAGUAUUUCCAGUACUACAUUUAGUGAACACAUGUCUGGCAUCACAAAAAUCCCAUGUUCUAUCACAAAAUAGCCACAAGUUUGGCAGCACAAAAUCAAGCAAGCAUGCCCAUGAAAUCCAUACAAGGUUGAAAUUUUUGCAUAACAAAGUACUACUAACACUAAAGGACCAUCAAACAUAUGGUCUAACACAUAUCACUUGUUUGUAGCAGUAGCUUUCUUCCUGGGAGCUCUGUUCUUUGAAGUAGUAGCAGCAACUCCUGAAACUCCUUCAGUUGUACACUUCCUUUUGUUGGCCCUAGAUUUUCCCUCUUUUGUUGCUGUGGUCAUAGGGGUAGAUACUACAGCUGGCUGGUUUGAAAGAAUGUACUGGUUAUCUGGGAGAGGACCAUGUGUAGUUUCCAUUUGACUCACUUGUGAUGAUUCCUCAAACAUCUGUGCAACCAUAGGAUUAGGAACUUGUGAUAGUAAUUGGUCAUAUGCAGACUGAGAUUGGGUCAGCACCUACAAGUUUACAAAGGUAAUUAAGAUAGAGUUAUAAUUAAUAGGGUACUGAUAAUAGAGUGAUAAGAUAGAGUAUUGUUUCAUUACCUCUACUGGUUCUUGCUCAGAUUCAUGCAACUCUUCUGUAGAACUUGCAGCUGGGGUCCUACUUGUCUUCAGUUUGGGUUUGAGUCCAGCCUUUCUCAGUGGGCACCCUUUCUUGUUAUGUCCAGGCUCUUUGCAGUAAGAGCAGUGCAUCUCCACACCAUGCUUGGACAUUUUAGGCCCAUUUUUUCCCUGUACCUCAUGUGGUGCUUUCCUCCUAGACUUAUGUGGUCUGCCAACCUUUUUCUCAUAUAUUGGAGGCUUCACUUCUGGCCCAUUCACCUGAGCCCACUUAGUCAUAUCAUUGCAGGGCCAAAUGUUAAAUGCAUAUGCUCUGGAGAAUGCUUCUAAACUAUAGCAGGGUGGAAGAACUGACUCGGCACUAAUUCUCUCACUCCUUAAGCAUGAGAUAGCAUGGUUACAAGGGAUGCCUGUUAGAUCCCAUCUCCUGCAGUCAAAAUGUUUAGCACUAAGGUCAACAAUGUACUUGAAAUUCCUAUCUUCCACCUGAAAAAUCCCUUUCCCGGCUGGCAAAACAUAACAUGUGUUUGCCAUAUCUGCAUUUUUCAGUACUUUCUUCCUGAUCUUGGGGCAUAUAGGCCCAUGCCAUUGCUCUGCCACUUCUUUCUGCUUACUGUAAUGCCUACUCAUUACUUGGCUUUUGAUCUUUUCAAACAUACUCAGGAUUGGCAAUUCCCUAGCUUCUAAGAUGUACUUGUUGAAUACUUCACAAUUAUUGUUCAACAAGAUAUCACACUUAGGGAAUUCACUGAAAUAAGCUCUGACCCAAGUUUUAGGAGGCAUCUUUUGAAGCCACUCAUAUGCAUCCUGAUUAAGAGAUUUCAUUUCUUCCAUGUUGGCAUUCCACUCAACCUCUGAACUUGAUCUAGCACAUGCCCAUAACUGGUUUUUCAGAUUCUCACCUUUGAAAUGUACCUGAAAAUUGGAGUACAGAUGUCUAACACAAAAUCUAUGUUCUGAAUCAGGGAAAAUCUGUUGGACAGCUGGUAUAAGACCCUGUAUCAUGUAAAAACAAACAUGGAAUUUGAAAUAUGUCAGAUUAUAAGAACAAAACUUAUAAGACAAAAAUAAAGAACAAGUAUACCUUUUGCUUAUCAGUCAUUAUUGUCCAUGGGUAGGUAUUGUCAAUGCCCAGGUCUUCCUUUAGGGUAUAUAGAAACCAUGUCCAAGACCUCAAUGACUCUUUCUCAACCACAGCUAUUGCAAUUGGAUAUAUGCAAUCAUUAGGGUCAAUGCCUACUGCUGUUAGGAUUUGUCCACCAAAUUUAGUCUUGAUGUGGCAACCAUCCAAACAUAUCAAAGGCCUACAUCCACUCAGAAACCCUCUCUUACAUGCAUCAAAGGACAUGUAAUAUGUGCUGAAACAACUGUCUACCAGGUUCAAAAAGAAGCAACUGCCUGGAUUAGACCUUCUUAGCUCAGCCCCAUAGUCCCACAACUAAUUAUAUUGUUGAAUCUCAUCACCAUAUAUGGCCUUGAAGGCCAAUCUCCUUGCCCUGGCUAGCUUGCUUCUAGAUGGAGUCAGAUUCCAUUCUAAUUGGACUAACUUUGCAAACCCUCCAAGUGUCAUCUUAUCAUUUGCUCUAAAAGUUUCAAUGUACUUCUCAGAUAGCCAUUUAGCAGUACACCUUUUCAGCACCCAUUCCUUCUGACAUUUAUGCUCCCCAAGAUAUGUCUUCACCAUCAUUGACUUGGACCUGCUAUCAAAUGAUGCAUAUAAGUUCCAUGGGCAACCCUCAACACAGUGGGCCCUAAGUCUUUUUUGCUCAUUCCUAGGUAUCUUGAUGUCCACUCUAGCCUUCAAACUGUACUCUGUUAUGGCCUUUCUAAGUACUUCUACUGAAGGAAACACCAUGCCAACCUUAAAAACUGGGUUCUUAACAUCCUCUGCCAUGAAAGCCUUGAACUUUAAUCUCACUUCACCUUCAUCAUCUGAAUCUGGGAGCUGCAAAUCUUCAUCAUCAGUGGAAACUUCCUCCCCAUCAGAAUUUCUAACUACUAUUUCUUUCCUCUUCAACUGACUGCCCUUAGCUUUCUUCCAAGACUUUGCCUUGCAGUCAGAUAAGUCUUCAACACCCAUAUCAACAUUGUCAACAUACAAGUCAUCAUCUGCAUCUGAUAUAUCAUAGUCACUGUCCACAAAAUCUGUGUCAUCUUCUAAGCUACCAUCACUGUCACUGUCAUCUUGUUUGUUUGGCACCUUCCUAUCAGCAGUUGGCAUCUUCCUAGGACUAAGCACCCUAGGCAAUUCACUAAUAGGAUUAGCUACUACAUCAUCCCAAUCUACACCUGCAAUUGUGUCACCCUGAUCAAAGUAGAUAAUAAAAUUCUUAACCUUGUGCACAACUGAUUUCAUCACUUCAAAGUCAGCCCUAGUAGAUAUAACCCUAAGGCCAUCUUCAAGAGUCCUUCCAGGGAGCAACCAAUAAGCCUUAAAAUCUGGAGUCAUAUCAUACCCAAGCAUAGCUAAAAAUUCAUCCAAACAAACAAUAUCCCAUGUUCCUGCUUCACAGUGGUCAAUCCAAUUUAUUGUUUGAUCUACAUAUGCCCUGUUGCUACUUUGACCAACAAAAAAACCACCAUGGUGUACCUCAGCGGUGAAUUUACCAUCAUCAGGACCUGCAUUGCAAUCCUAAUUAGCUGUAUUACUCUCAUGUUCUAGCCUACUCGAGAACAAUGUCAGGAUAAUCAUCCUACAGGGAAAAAUAACAUCUUUUUUGCAUAACAAACGCCUUAUUCCUUUGUAUCUAUCUACCAACAUCAAUCAGUGCAUGCUAACCCUGCAGAUUAAUGGACGAACGAAAUUUUGAAGUUAUACUCACUGUACAACGGAGGCCCUUCCCCUUCCAGGCGGAAAAUCAUGCCUCCUCCCCGCGAUUAUGGUCGGCGGGAGGCCGCAACAGCCAAUCGAUCUCGCCUCUUUGCGCUUCCGUUGGAACCCUAUUUCUCCGGCGAUCACCCCCCUCACGAUCUCCGCUGCACUCUGCGCUAGGGCACUCCGGGGAAGACGAAGCAGCAGUGGAUGACGAAAGAAAAUGAGAAAAACAGAGGGGCCUCGAUGAAAAAAAAACAAGUGUGGCCGGUGACACACACGGUGCGCGUGAGAAAAGGCACGGUGCGGGCCAGCUCAGCUGUGCACAUGGCAUGCCACGUCGGCGCGACCACGGUCAAAUGACAUUUUGGACCGGCGAUGGUACAUUUAGCAAGUUUAGUGGCCUAAUUACACGAUUUACAAGUUAAUGGACCUAGAUGAUAUCCGCCCGCAAGUUUAAGGGCCGCUACUGUAUUUUACUCAAAAAACUAUACUAGAGGUAAACGUGUGACAGUACAAGACCAGUCAAAGUCUUUCCAACGUCUCUCGCAUGCUGUACGUACGUACUAUAACACGUAGUAGUAGAACCGUACGUACGUCUUCGUGAGUUAGGUAAUUAAUAUGCGGCUACACGAGAGGAAAAGGCCAAGGAAAAUCAUUGGAAAGUUCAUUGCAACGUGCCAAAUAUUAAUAUUGCCUCUGUGCAUGCUCAACGUUAUAUCUUGUGCCUCCAGCUGGGCAUAUAUUAUGGUAUGAUCCUUAAUUUUAAUCUUGAAAGAAACUACCUUUUUACCAUUUCUUUAAUUCUUUAGAUAAGAAAAAGAAAAAUAUUCUCUAGAAACCAUAUCUGUCACGGUAUCCACCUUGUCAUCGGCUAUGUCAGUGUUACUCGAAGCUUUAUUUCUAAUUAAGGGUAUCUUUACUCUAUGUGUGUGUGUAUAUUGAUAUUUCUCAACCAGGUUAUGAAUAGGGCCCACUAUUGUUGUUGUAACUUUAAGUAUUGCAUUAGAGUUAGAAAAGGGAUGAACCUAGCUUUGGGUUAAGCCCUCAACCGGUUCGUGGAGUGUUGUGGAAAAAAAUGGUGACGGUUACCUCUGACGAACGUCCUCCGUCAAAUGUGAGUAAAGUCAUCAGCGACCACUAAUCUCUGACUAGGACCAAAACACGUCAAAGGUGACGGUUUGAAUACCGUCAGAGAUGACCUGAUUCGGCGUAGUGUGCAUAGCUUUAUAUGAGCCUGUACUUAGGCCUUGAGCUAUGGCCGAGGUAGCCCGGUUAUGAUCCAUCAUUGGUUGGGAGCCAUCACAACUUUGAAAGACACAUUUUCGGAUAAUGUGAUAUGGAUACAUAUGCACACACACUAGAAUACUAGAUGAUACCCCGUGCAGUGCAGACGGAAUAUUGGUGUGUGCAAUGCAGUUGUAAAAUUUCAAUACGUACAUACGAGAAAGAUUAUAUAUACACGCUGAUAUGAACUAUAGAAGUGUCAUCCAAUGUGUUGUCAAGUGAUGGUGUAACUUCUUUACAGUAAUAACGUUCUACGCUAGCUAAGUAAAUCACUGAAUGCUAAGUUAUUUACUAAUUAGUGAUGAAUAGUAGCUACAAAAUGGAUUAAGCAUAGGAAUGAUCCAAUAUAUGGCUCUCUUUUUUUAAAAUUAUGUGGUUUAAUGCAUGUUGAGCUAUUGGCUAUAGGAUAUAUAAAUAAGCCAGAAAAAUAAACAUCAAGUUGCAUUCACUACCUGCCCAGAUGAAGAAAGUAUGCAGCUGAGCUGUGUGCCAAAGACUAUUAAAGUACAGUGUGAAUACAUGCAUGGAAAGUUUGCGACAAUUGACCACUUAAUUAUAUUUAGUGGAAGUAAUUAACAUCUACUAGAAGCAACGUGACAGUGCAGGACCAAGUCUAAAGUGUCUUUCCAACCUCGAUCUCUCGUAAUCGAGCUUAGCUAUAGCUCUCAUGAUUUAACUGCUAUAAAUACCUCAGCAAGCAACAAGUCUCAGCACAAGACAUUAAUUAAUUAGCUUGAGAAACUCAUCUGCUGGAUCGAGCUUCUCUGUUAAUUAAUGGCGUCGAAAGCCUUUGCACUCGUGCUGCUGGCGGCGGCGACGCUGGCCAUGGCGGCCAGCACGGCGGCGGCGCAGAGCUCGCCGCAGGACUUCGUCGACGCCCACAACGACGCCCGCCGCGGCGAGGGCGUCGGCCUCCCCGACGUGGUGUGGAACACGACGCUGCAGGCGUUCGCGGAGAGCUACGUGGCGGUGCUCGCCGCCACCUGCAGCCUCGACCACUCGAACAGCGUGCAGCUGGGCUACGGCGAGAACCUGUACAUGGGCGGCGCCGGCAGCGCGUCGACGGCGGCGGACGCGGUCGGCUUGUGGAUGGAGGAGAAGGCGGACUACGUGUACAGCAGCAACACGUGCACGAGGGGGGCGCUGCUCGACUGCGGCCACUACACGCAGGUGGUGUGGCGGAGCACGACGUCGAUCGGCUGCGCGCGCGCCGCCUGCAGCAACGGCGGCGGUGUCAUCAUCAGCUGCAACUAUUUCCCGCCCGGCAACUUCCCCGAUCAGCGCCCUUACUAGUACACUAUACUUACUACUACAUGAAUGUACGCAUCAGAUAUAUAUUUAUAUGAAUAAAUUAAUCACGUUCAUGUAUGUAUAACAUAUACAGUACCAUAUUCGUACUUACUAUAAUAAGUAAGGCAAAUUUUUCUACGCGGCAUCGCAGUUGUGUGGUUUUAGCCUAGGGACACCGAAAAACAAAGCUUUGGGGGAAAGACACUACAUAACCAUAGAUAUUUAUCGAUGAGCACCGUGCCGUCUAAAUGAAACUUGCCAUGCUGACGUGGCGGUUCAGGAGCCCUUUUUUAAUGUGGUUGGACCGAAAUGCCCUUGCGCCUUAUCUCCCUUGAGGGAGUAGCCGGUCAUGGUGAAGAACCCCUCGGUGGCGUAGAUGAUGGGGCAGUCCGGGCGCGUCGCGUCGGAGACGACGAACGUCUGCUGCAGGCUGGACAGCGCGUCCUUGACCUCCAGCGACACCCACGCGGCAGCCAGUCUUACGACGCGCGGCCGCCGCCGCGCGCCGCCGUCCACUGACGACUUGCAUGCCGCUCCCGUCCCCGACGUGCCGCCGUUGUCGCACCACGCCGCCGCCACCGGACGCCAAGCCUGCUGCUGCUGGGCGCUGCUUCCGCUAGAGCCCUCCUCGGCAACGAUCUCCAAGCCGGCGGCGGUGGAGAUGGGGAACGCCAUCCACUUCUCCACCGCGUCCACUAUCUCCUUCGAGCUGCUGGCCGCCAUGGAUGCCGACGAGAUUGUCCUCGGCUAUUAUCAGCAAAGGUGUAACAAUCUUGGCAGUGCAACUGCCACUGGUGGAGAAACCAUCUUUCGUCGGUCGGGCUAAUUCCACAAUAGUCCCGGUUGCAACAAAAACCGGGACUAAAGAUCAUCUUUAGUCCCGGUUAAAAAGGGUAACGGGCAUAUUUGAUCUACACCAACCGGGACUAAAGAUCGUAACUUUAGUCCCGGUUCAAAUGCUGUAAGGGCCUGUCAGGUCCCCCGGGAUCUUUAGUCCCGGUUAAUAACACCAACCGGGACUAAAGAUCGUAACUAAAGAUCACAGCGAUCUUUAGCCCCGGUUCAUAACACCAACCGGGACUAAAGUCUCACCCCUAUAUAAAUGUCUUCUUCCUCCUUCAGCCCGAGCAAGCUUCAAAAUUUCUUCAAAAAAGAGGGGAGGUCAUGCCAAAAUUUCUAGUAAAUUUAUUUUGGUGAUUAUAUACAAAUCAGAGGUGCCUAAAAGGUUAGCAACUUCAUCCUCCAAUGUUUUUUUUUUCAUAUUACAUUUGGAGCUAUGUUUUGCACACAUUUUUGUGACCAAAAUUUUGUUGUUAUUUGAUGAGAGAGAAAAUUUGUGUGGAGAAUAAAGAAUAUAUAGAAAUUUAGUUUAUUUGCUAAAGAAGGUUUUAUAAAAAAGUUGAGAAGGAAAAUAUAGUGAAAGUUAAUCUUGAAUAAUAGAAAACAAAGUAAAAUGACAAAUUAAAAUAAGUACAACACAUUAAUAUUAGUUUAAAACUUUAUAAAUAGUAAAUAUAUAAUUAUUCGGUGUAAUAUUUCAUAAUAUUUGUAGGAAUAAUGAUAUGUCAUUAUUGUGUGACUGUUGAAAGAGUUUGUAAUUAUUUUAUAAUUAUUGUAUGACUGUCAUUAUUGUACGAAUAAUUAUGUGUGUACGAUUUUUUUUCAUGUUAUGUAGAUGGAUCGGCAAUGGAUGUACGCUGACCGGUGGUCCAAAGAGUUUAUUGACGGCGUGCAUUAUUUUUUGAGAGUGGCCGAAGCUAACAUGCAAAAGGGUUUUAUUUGUUGUCCAUGCAAUAAGUGUAAGAAUCAGAAGGAGUAUUCUGCAUGCAGGACUAUUCAUUUCCACUUGUUUGAGUCGGGGUUCAUGCCAAGCUAUAAUUGUUGGACAUCCCACGGAGAGCAAGGUGUUGAAAUGGAAGAAGAUGAAGUGGAAGACGACAAUAUUCCGGACUUUGCUCAGUACGCUGGAUUUGAAUGAAAUCAAACGGGCGAGGAGGAAAGGGAUGCUGAUGGUAACAACAUUGCGGAUGAUCUUGGUCAGAUGUUGCAGGACGCCAUGGAGGAUUGCGAAAGUGAAAAGGGGGCCCAUAAAUUGGACAAGAUGUUAGAGGACCAUAGAACGUCGUUGUACCCAGGUUGCGAGCAGGGGCACAAAAAGUUGGAUACCACUCUGGAGUUCUUGCAAUGGAAGGCAAAAAAUGGUGUUAGUGACAAGGCAUUUGGCGAUUUAUUGAAACUCGUUAAGAACAUUCUUCCGGAGGGAAACAAGUUGCCCGAGACAACGUACGAGGCUAAGAAGAUAGUGUGCCCUCUAGGACUGAAAGUUCAGAAGAUUCACGCAUGUCCGAAUGAUUGUAUUCUAUAUCGCGGUGAGGAGUACGAGAACCUAGAAGCAUGCCCUGUUUGCAAAGCACUACGAUAAAAGAUUAGACGAGAUGAUCCAGGAGAAGUUGACGGGCAGCUAACGAAGAAGAGAAUUCCUGCUAAGGUGAUGUGGUAUUUCCCUAUAAUAUCACGGCUAAGGCGUUUGUUCAGGAACAAGGGGAACGCUAGAAUGAUGCGGUGGCACGCUGAAGAGCGUCAACAGGACGGGAUGCUGAGACACCCCGCCGAUGGUUUGCAGUGGCGAAACAUCGAUAGAAAAUUUAAAGACUUUGGAAAGGACGCACGAAACAUACAGUUUGGUUUAAGUACGGAUGGCAUGAAUCCUUUUGGAGAGAUGAGCAGCGGCCACAGCACUUGGCCCGUUACGAUAUGUAUCUACAACCUCCCCCCGUGGCUAUGCAUGAAGAGGAAGUACAUAAUGAUGCCGAUUAUAAUUCAAGGGCCCAAGCAACCUGGUAACGACAUCGAUGUGUACCUAAGACCACUGGUCGAAGAUCUUAAACUGUUGUGGAAGAAGGAAGGUGUCCCCGUGUGGGAUGAGGACAAACAGAAGGAGUUUAACCUACGAGCGCUGCUGUUCGUAACCAUCAACGAUUGGCCUGCACUUAGCAACCUAUCCGGGCAGUCCAACAAGGGGUACAAGGCUUGCACUCACUGUAUGGAUGAAACAGAAAGUACGUAUCUUAAGUACUGUAGGAAGGUUGUGUACAUGGGUCAUCGUCGAUUCCUUGCAGCAAACCAUCCGGUUCGGAAGAAAGGCAAGCACUUUGAACAUAAGGCGGACCACCGUACGAAGCCUAAACAUCGCAGCGGAAAAACAGUGUUUGCUAUGGUUAAAGAUCUUAAAGUAGUGUUUGGAAAGGGGCGUGGCAGCCAGCCUAUAGAGAGCGAAGAUGGUCACGCGGCGAUGUGGAAAAAGAACUCUAUAUUUUGGGAGUUAUCCUAUUGGGAAUUCUUGGACGUCCGCCACGCAAUCGACGUGAUGCACCUCACUAACAAUCUUUGCGUAAACCUUCUUGGCUUCCUAGGUGUAUAUGGAAAGUCGAAAGAUACACUGGAAGCACGUAAUGAUCUAAAGCAUAUGGAACAACGCGGUGACCUUCACCCAGAACCAAAGGAGAAAGGAAGCCAUUACUUGAGUCUAGCCAGCUACACUCUUAGCAAGGCAGAGAAGGAAAGUACGUUUGAAUGCUUGGAGAGCAUCAAGGUACCGUCUGGAUACUCCACGAAUAUAAAGCGAAUAAUAAGCACGAAGGAGAAGAAGUUCACAAACCUAAAGUCUCAUGACUGUCACGUGUUGAUGACACAGCUGCUACCAGUUGUAAUAAGGGGUAUCCUCCCAGACAAUGUCCGGGCAAUAAUAACAAAGCUAUGUGCUUUCAUGAACGCAAUUUCGCAGAAGGUCAUCGAUCCUCAUAGAUUAGAAGCCCUGCAAAAUGAUGUGGUGCAAUGUCUUGUCAGCUUUGAGUUGAUAUUUCCACCUUCAUUUUUCAAUAUAAUGACGCAUCUGCUUUGUCACCUUGUCAAAGAGAUCGGUAUUCUCGGUCCUGUGUACCUACACAACAUGUUUCCUUUCGAGAGGUACAUGGGCGUUCUGAAGAAGUAUGUUCGUAACCGUGCUCGUCCAGAGGCAAGCAUCGCCAAGGGGUAUGGAACAGAGGAGGUCAUCGAAUUCUGCGUAGAAUUUAUCGAAGACCUUCGCCCAAUCGGGAUACCUGAAUCACGCCAUGAAGGGAGACUACGGGGAAAGGGGACUCUCGGAAAGAAAGCAAUAAUGACGUUAGACAACAAUUUAUUCCGUAAAGCCCAUUUCACGGUUCUGCAACAAUCUUCAUUGGUGGCUCUCUACAUCGAGGAGCACUUGGCUCUAGUUUGCACCAAAAACAUCGGUAAGUCCGAUGCAUGGAUUACAAGGCAUCACAUUGAUACUUUCUCCACAUGGCUGCGACAACAUCUCAUGGGUAAUGAGACGAUUAACCAACAACUGGCCUUCCUGGCGAGGGGACCAUCUGGCUCGAUCGCGACAUUCCAGGUAUAUGAAAUCAAUGGGUACACAUUCUACACGAGGGCCCAAGACAUGAAGAGCACGAACCAGAACAGUGCUGUUCGUAUCGAUGCCAUGGGACACGAUGGUACAACUGGCACGUAUUACGGUGCCAUCGAGGACAUAUGGGAACUUGACUAUGGACCUCUCAAGGUCCCUUUGUUCCGGUGCCAAUGGGUUAGGUUGACUGGUGGAGGCGUAACGAUUGAUGACAGUGGGAUGACAACGGUUGACCUUAACAAGGUUGGAUACUCGGACGAACCUUUUGUCCUUGCCAAUGAUGUAACCCAAGUUUUUUACGUCAAGGACAUGUCUAGCAAAGAAAAAAAGGGCAAAGUGACUGACGAGCCGAAGCGCCACGUGGUUCUCCCAGGAAAAAGAAAAAUCGUCGGAUUAGAGGACAAGACUGACGAGGAUUACGAUCAGUUUGAUGGGCAACCCCUUUCACGAUGACAAUUGACCCUAGCAUCCUCCUAUCAAAUGAAGACACCCCUUACUCACGUAGCGAUCACAAGGAAUGAACAAUAGUGAGGAGAAAGUACGUCCGGUCAACCGUCACCGCCGAUGUAUUGCCGUAAUUGUUCUGUACACGAUGUAAACUAUGUUGGAUGUACCGAAUAUCUAUACUAAUCAAUUGUUGUAUGGCAUAUGUAAAAUACGUAUGAUUAUUAGAAUUUUUAUCAAAUUGAAAUCAUCCAUAUGCUAGUUAUAUAUGAUUAUUAGAUUUUUUGUUAAUUAUGUAUGAUUAUUAGAAUUUUAAUCAAAUUAAAAUCAUCCAUAUGCUACAUAUAUAUGAUUAUUAGAAUUUCUAAAGGUUUUAAAUCAUGCAUGUGGUAUUUACAUAUGUUAAUUAGAAUUUUUAUCAAUUUAAUAUCAUGAUAUGCUAGUUAUAUAUGAUAUUAGAUUUUGUAUUAAUUUUAAAUCAUGCAUGUGCUAUUAUGUUAAUUAGAAUUUUUAACAAUUUUAAAUCAUUCAUGUGCUUAUUAUAUAUUAUCCACGUAUUCUACUACGUACAACAAUAAUUUUUCGAAGGUUUUAUCAUUAAUUGUUCGACUUUAAAUAAUUGUAAUGCAUUAUUUACUAUUUUAGAAACACAUAUGCAAUGAAAUUGAAGACACAACUGCUAUUAUCUUUAUUCCCGGUUCCUAACCCUAACCGGGUUUAAAAAGAAUUUGGAAAUAGCGGGAAAAGAUCUUUAGUCCCGGUUCCUGAGAACAACCGGGAGUAAAAAUAUCUUUACUCCCGGUUUAUGAGAACAACCGGGACUAAAGAUCUUUUCUUUAGUCCCGGUUGUUGUCAACAACCGGGAGUAAAGAUAUCUUUACUCCUGGUUGUUCUCACCAACCGGGACUAAAGAUCCGGGGGUAUAUAUAUUCCCGGUGCGCCCUCGUCUUCUCCACCAACACUUAGCCGUUUUUCGAUCUUGAUCGGCCUCUCCUUCGCCGCCACCGUGCCUAGGGCAACCCCGCGCCGACACCGCCGUCGUUUCUCGCCGUCGCUUGGUGGUCCUCGCCGCCUCCGCCGCAGACGCCGCCGCCGCAUCUCUUGGGUGAGAGCCGCCGCUGCCUCUCUCUCUCUCUUGAUCUCGAUCUCGAUCUCUCUCUCUGAUCGAUCUCCACGGCCGGCCGACGACCGACUUCGAUCGACGCGGCCGCUGCCGCCGUCGACGACGUCGCCACUGCCACGAACGCCGCCCCCCCGAGCUUGAUCGCCACGCCACCGCGCCACGCCGCCGCUACGCCACUCGGCCGCCACCGCCUCGAGCUCGCCACGCCGCCACUACGCCACGCCGCGGCCGUCGCGUGCCGCCACCGCGCCCGCACGCCGCUGGGCCCCGACGCCGCGGCCGUGCCCGCACGCCGCUGGCCCCGACGCCGCCACUGCGCCCCCACGCCGCUGGCCCCGACACCGCAGCCGCGCCCCCACGCCGCCGGGCCCCCACGCCGCCGGGCCCCCACGCCGCCGCCGCCGCCGCGCCCGCACGCCGCCGGGCCGGCCCACGGCGCCCCGACGCCGCCGCCACUGCACGCCACUUCCGCGCGCGCCCGAACGUGACCGAACGCGAAGAACGUGAACGAUACGUGGACGACCUUUGAACGAACGCUGAACGAACGUGAACGAAACGUUAACGAACGCGAACAAACGUAACGAAACGUUAACGAACGCGAACGAACGUGAACGAAACGUUAACGAACGUGAACGAAACGUUAACGAACGCGAACGAACGUGCACGAAACGUUAACGAACGCGGACGAACGUAACGAAACGUUAACGAACGCGAACGAACGUGAACAAUACGAUUACAAAACGCGAACGAACGUGCACGAAACGCUUACGAACAUGAAUGCACUUGUACUAAAUGUGUGAGAACGAACGCGUUUCUACUAAUACGAUUUACUGGUAAUGUUGCAGAGAAGACGUUUAGACUAAUACAUUUUCCUGGUAAUGUUGCAGAGAAGACGUCGGCGUCGUCCCUCAAGCCGAAGUGGUAGCUAGCCAUCGAAGGAAUUCGCGCAGGCAAGUGAUGUAAUUAAGUGAUUGUUAGAUAUUUAAUAUAAGAUUGUUACACUUAGCAUACAUGAUUAUUACACUUUUAAUAUAAGAUUGUUAUCGAUUUAAUAUAAUUAAGAUUAGUAGCGAUUUAAUAUGAGAUUGUUAUACUUAGCAUAUAUGACUAUUACAAUUCAAAUAUAAGAUUAUUAGAGAUUAAAUAUAAGAUUGUUAGAGAUUUAAUAUAAGAUUGUUAGACUUAGCAUAUAUAAAUGAUUAUUACAAUUUUAAUAUGAGAUUAGUAGCAAUUUAAUAUAAGAUUAUUAGACUUAGCAUAUAUAUAUAUAUAUGACUUACAAUUUUAAUAUAAGAUUAUUAGAGAUUAAAUAUAAGAUUGUUAGAGAUUUAAUAUAAGAUUGUUAGACUUAGCAUAUAUAAAUGAUUAUUACAAUUUUAAUAUGAGAUUAGUAGCCAUUUAAUAUAAGAUUAUUAGAGAUUUAAUAUAAAAUUAGCAGAGUUUCAAUAUUACGGUUAGCAAAUACAUCCUAUAUACCUAACAAAUAUUUUUUGUAUGCACAGAUGGCUGAUCGCGAUGAGGAACAGAUACUAUACGAAACAAUCGCAGAGGGAAGCAGCCAGUAUUGGAACGAGGAGGGUAACGUGGAGAGGGAUGCAGAGGGGAACGAUGCGGAGGAGGCUAAUGGAAGUCAACCCUCUGCUGGACAGAAGAGGGCACGCGGACAACGAGGUGCCGCGAAGAAGAUAGAGGGUCGGCACAUCAUAACUGAGGUGGACGAAGACGGCCGACCUAGUGCCCCGGCAGAAGCAGCCAGGAAUUUUGUACGCCACAGCGGUUGGGUUGUGAGGGACAACGUGCCUGUCAGCACGGUGUACUGGCGCAGAACAAGGGCACGCGGGGAUGAUGACAGCUUUGUCCCGGACUCAGAGAAAGAGAUGUUGUGGACCACAUUGCUCGAGACGUUCACGCUACCCGCGGGUACGGAUAACUUAGUGAAAUAGUGGACUCUGAAGAAAAUGGCAGAACAGUUCUAGAGCUUCAAGGGAGAUCUCUACAAGAAAUACAUCCUGAAGGGACUAACACCGAACUUCGACGUAUUCCCAAAGCUAAGGGAUCAUUGGGACGAGUUCGUUGCUUACAAGACAGGGCAACAAGGGCAAGAGAUGAUGGCCAGAAACAAGGAAAAUGCCGCCAAGAAGAAGUACCAUCACCACUUGGGGUCAGGCGGAUAUAGCGUCGCGAAGCCGAAGUGGGAGGAGAUGGAGGCUAGCUUGCUUGAGGGGGGUAUCGAACCGGCCACCGCUAAAUGGCCGGAUCGAUCGAAGUUCUGGUACUAUGCUCACGGUGGAACGCUUAACCCAGUUGAUGGCUCCCUUGUCUUCAGCGAUCAGAUAUGCGAGGCUGCCAGUCGACUAACGGACGCAGUGGUGGCCUCUUCUCAGGGCACAUUCCGACCCGACAGAGAGAAGGAUGAGCUGUCACUCGCCCUACAGACUCCCGAGCAUCCAGGACAAACACGAGGGAAAGGCGUGAUUCCCUAGAAGAUUGGAUUUAAGGAGGACAUCCACACGUACAGGAGUCGGAUGAGGAGCAAGAGAGAUACCGAGGCGAAGAUUGCAGAUCUUGAGUACAGGGUAUUGAGCUACGAGCUCAGCAUGCAAGAGGAGGUGGCAAGGAAGGUGGAUGAACGUAUGGCCGCACAUCGGUCCCAGGAUCCCCAGCCGUACAUUCAUCCUGUAAUGGUCAGCACAUCAGGCAAUCGUAGCAGCUGCGCCUCAACGGGGCAGGUCGGAUCACAGAGCAUGGACGCCGUGCAAACCUAGGACGCAACCACCUGCCCUGUUGAUGAGAUCACGCAGCGGACACCAUGUGAGUUGCAUAUUCCCUUCAAGAACUUAUCAAUCAAGGUAUGCUCGUAGUUUGAUGAUUUUUGACUUGUACAUUCCGCAAGUUGCUGCUUAGGUUGAUUACUAAUAGAUAACCUCUCAUCACGUGAAGGUGGCGUCGGGAAUGGCCAUCCCAACGGACCCUUCCGGGACUUACCACUGCAGGCCGAUUCCAGCAGGAUACUCGAGGGUCGAAGUUGAGCUGGUGGAAGCCGCGUACGAGGACCUCGAGUUGGACUACCCAGGAGGGGACGGUGAGACGCAUCUACGAGACACAAGCCACGCCAUCAUACUAUGGCGCAAGCGGUACAUCAUCCUUCCUGGGCGACAAGCGGCGUCUUGUGCACCAUCUCCUCCGGCUCCGCCAUCUCCUCCUGCACCAUCUCCUCCGGUUCCUCCGCCACGUCCUCCUGCACCAUCUCCUCCGGCUCCUCCGCCACCUCCUGCUGCACCAUCUCCUCCGGCUCCUCCGCCUCCACCGUGUCCGCCUGCACCUCCCAAGACAAGGUCUUGCCAAGCUCCACCGCCUGCCCGCACAAGGGCAACGAAGAAGGCGAAAGUCGACGCCACCAAAAACAAGGAGCCACCAUACGAUUGCAGUCAAGAGGAGCUUGAUGCUUAUGCGGCAGGGAGGUGAAGAGGCAACUCAAGCCUCGGAGUACUGAAAAGAAGAUACCUAUUGACCCGAGCGUGAAGAACUUCUUCAAGGGAAUGUCCAAAACAAACAAGGAGGCGUUACAGAUAUCGGACUAUGACCGAACACUUCAGAGAGCCUAUCACAAGAAGUCCAAACCAGUCCCUCAGCUUGGAGAACAACCAAACCAAGAGGUCGAGCCGUUGGUGACCGGCGAAGAUUUUGGCAUAACGGAUUUCAUUGCAGACACUAGUCUAUCUGUGGAUCAGUUGGUUGGAGGCGCACCAAUCCCGAAGGCGGAAGUGGCAUACAAGUUUGAACUCGGUAAACCGCUUGUCAAACCUGAACAGCUGGAGUCCCUACCGACACAGAUGUACAAAUUCCAUGAACGGUACAUGGAAAUGAGCUCCAACAGUAGAGAGAUGUUCGGGGCGAGGAUCAGAAACCCCGACUUCUUGCAAGGAGACGGGGUUACUAAUCGGGACUCCAAACGGUUUCUCCACCAGUGUGUGCAACCGCCGAUUCUUGCUGCAAACAACAACACGAAGAACAAACCAAACCGAAAGAGAAAAAAAAAUCAGCAGAGAGUACAUUACGCAGACAGCACCUAGAAAAGAACAAAUUAAUCACCACAAACCAUGCGACCAAUCCCUGCUCCAACAAAUCUAGGACACCACGAAAAGGGAAAGAUACCUCAACAGAAGGAUUCUUUUCGAUGAACACUACUACAAAACAUUAAAUAGAUGUCGGCGCUAAAGGCCACCGGAAGUGGUAAAAUCGACACCUAGCUAUAGCGUCUUUCCUACUCACGUGCCCACCCACGCGUCCGUCCACAUGCCAAAUUUCAAAAGACCGGCACCUUUUUCCUCAAAUAGGUGCUAGUUUUUAUUGAAUAUCCAGCACCUUUUAGUACCCAUCCCAUCGGAGUAGUUGACACAGAAUCUUUGUAAGAACCGGAUGUCACGCCCCGAACUAGUCCCGACCGGAACUAGCCCGUGACGCUCCAAUUUAACCUGUUAAUCGAUACCAGUCCCAGAAAACAGUGCUGGUAUCAUAGGGAGACAGAAUAUCACAGCAACAGAGGUCUCUUUAUUAUAGAGUAGAGGUAUAGUCAUGUUGGGCUGCGGACAGAUCCCGAGCUCACAACUGCAUUACAAAAGGAAAACGGAAGCCAGGACUUGGACCAAUCAACACAGGCACGACUUGGGAACUAGGCCGAAACCCUAAAACUCAUCGUAGCCGACUUGCUCCUGGAAGAACUCCUCGUCAGCAGGAUCCACUUCAUCUUCUUCAGCAACUGGGGGGAGAUUAUUUAUAUAGAGCAAGGGUGAGUACGGGAGUACUCAGCAAGCCAGGGGAAAUAAGUGUUUAAUGCAGGCUUCAAGGGAAGGCUGCUGUUUUUGCAAUUGAUUUUAUUUGAACUCUUUUCUGAAAACAACUAAGUGCUUCUCAAACGACACGGAUGAGACAAUGCGUCUCGUCCGGUCGGAGUAUGUGCAAUGUAUCAAUCUUUAGGAUUGCAACACGGUUGGCACCCGGCCAACAGCUUUUCAAACGGCCACCCGGGCCAACAACUUUUCAAACGGCCACCCGGGCUAGCUGAUCCCAUCAGCUGCAGAUUUUUCAAACAUCGAACCCCUUUUCACAACAGCAAUUUCACAAGCAGUAGUCAAACAAAACUACGCUAGGAAUCACCUCACAUCCGCCCAUGACCGUGGGCACGGGUGUUCGAACAGUUUAAUGACCUCUGCAGAGGGGGUACACUUUACCCACAUGACAUUACUAACCCGGAUCAUCCAGCCCGUGGGGAUCAGCCACGUCGGGAGACCUCCAAGCUUUCAUGACAAGGCAUUUCGAAAGCCGACACAGGUUUACCAUAUGCCGACGAGAGGGGUCCCAGACCAACAACAGGUUAGGUCCCAGACCAUACUGUGCCAGGAAGCCCAGGGGUCCUCUCCGACACCACCCCGGCGAAUCCACAUGUCUCUCGACAUCAAGGCUCCCCCGAUUAGCAAUUUACUCAGCCAGGGGCGUCCCAUUCCACCCAUGUGGUCGUACUUGUCUUAUGUUCGGAUGAAAUUUCCAAGGAAACGGUCCUUAAGUGCAAGAGCGGGAAACCGUACACCCGGUACGUUCCCCGGUCCGCGGUUUUGGAAAUUCAUUUAGUUCGCAAGCACCGACCCAGGUGUCGGGUUUUCCAAGUCUUUUGUAAAACUCCAGUUUUACCCAAGUUGUUACUCAGAUUUUAAGUUUGAGGGCGACCGUCGAUACUUGCACAGAGUGCACGAGUAUCGAGGCGCAACUGGGUGGUUACAAGGGGACAUGGUAUAGCAAUUAACAAAGGAAGGAUCAAAUGCGACAAAUUAGGUAGGUCCGCCAAUCUGCCUUGCAGACGGGACAAACAGAUUAAGUGCGAUCCUAUCAAUGCAUAAUAUUUUGCAAGCAACAUAAAUAAAUUUCAAAUAUAGGCUCAAGAUGUUCAAAGGUGGCUUGCCUUGCUCGAGAUCUGGAGCUUGAUCCUCGAAAUCCUCGCACUGCGGGUCUUCGGGCUCCGGAACUACACGCGAAACGGAACAACUCAACAAACGGCGAAAAUUAAGCCCUAUUAAUGACCUCUAAGCGUGCCAUUAGAUAGAUCUCGAGAUUUGCGGAAUUUUGGAAGUUGAACGGAGUCAAACGGAUUUACGGUUGGGAAGAUAUUGAAUUUCUAAGAUUAUUAAAUUUUUGAUCUAAAGGAAAAGGAUUUAAUUAAAUCCUUUUUGGAAAAGAAAAAGAAAAGAAGGGAGGGAUGGAAUAUAGACUUUUCUCGGACGGCUAGGGCGCGGCCCAAGAGAAAUGGAGCGGUCCGGCCGAGCUAAAUGGGCCGGCCGGCCCAAGGCGGCCCAAACUCGCACGCGCGCGGGAGGGAGGAGAGAGAGAGCCGGUGGACUGGGCUUACCACGCGCGGUCCCGGGUGGGACCCGCUUGUCAGCGGCUCGGCUCACCGUGCGGAGGGAGCACGCGACGCACGCGCGCGGGCGGGGAAGGGACGCGGUGCAUGCGCGCGGUCCGCGGUGGACGCAGGUGCGGCGGGCCCACGCGCAGCCUCACGGCUCGCGGUGGAACGCGCGCACGGGGAGGGACUAACCGGGGUCGGCUCGAUCCGGUCUAGGCUGAGCUGGUGCCGACGUGGCGCCUACGUGGCGGCCACGUGGGCUGGCGGGAGGUAGACGACGACCCAGCCGCGAAUGGACGGCGGGUGGCGGCGGCGAGCGGCGGAGCGAACCACGGUGAUACAGGCAAAAGCGAGCACACCGGGCGGUUGCACGGGACGAGGGGAGACGAGCCAACGGCUCGGAUUCGCCGGAGGUUGCUCGACGGCGGCGGAUUGCGGCGGCGGCAACCGGCGGCGGGAGAGGAGGAAAACGGCAACGAGGUCACGAGAGGCCGAUUCCCGGCGGUGAGAGCAUCUACGCGGCUUCGGGAACUCGACGCUAGCGUCGGAUUGGGCGGAACUACGCCGAGCGAGGCCGGCGACGAGCGGGUGCUACGGAGCUCGGGCGGCGACGGCGGCGAGCACACGGCGAGUGACGGCAACGGUCGGGGCGGCACCGGCUAACUACGGGGAGUCUACUCAAGCUACUACCGAAAGCUAGGGGAAGGAGAUGGAGCGAGGAGGAAGAACGGAGAGAGACACUACCGUGCGGGACGGGGCGCAGUGACGAGAGGCCGACGGUGCGGGAGUGAUCUCUCCGGCCUCGGACCGAGGAAGAGGAAGAAGAGGGCGCGCCCGGAGUCCCCUUCCGCGUCCACGAACGCACCGGCUCUCCCGGCGCUUGGCGAUGGACGGCGGAGGCGAGGCAGAGCACGGGAGCGGCGGCAAUGGUGAGGAGGCGAAUGGGAGAGGAAAGGAAGGGAGGGGGAAGACGGGUUUAAAUGGGCGGCAAUGUCGGUUUGAGAGAGGGGAACCGACAUGGGCGGUCAAGCCGGCGAGCUGGCGCUCCGGCUAGCGUCCAAAGCGGCGACAGGAGGUGACGCCGGCGAGAGGGGAAAAAGAGGAGGAAAAGAGGAAAAGGAGGGGGAGAAAGGGGGCUUGCCCCUUUGCCGAUUCGGGAAAAAGGGGGAGGGGAGCGGGGGCGACGCGGCAGAGAGAGGAGGGGCGCGGCCUCCUUUCCUUGGCGGCUUGCGCGCGGAGUGGCGGGGGCCGGGCGGUGACGACGGCGAUGACGGUGGGAUGGUUUGGAGCGGCGCGACGACACGGGCGACAGGCGCGGGCUGGCGCGGUAGAGGGUGACGGCGGCGGCGACCAGGCGGUCGGCCACUCGGCACGCGCGCGCGGGAAGCAACGGGCGGCGCGGCUGGGCAGCGGGACCGGGCGACGCGGACGGCGCAGACGACGCGGCUCGGGCAGGAAACCACGCGGGCGCGCGCACGCGAACACGGCGUGCGGGAAGCGGCAGCGAGGGAGCAGAGAGGGAAGACUCGGCUCGGCGCGGGCGGCUCACGCGCGCGGGCAGAGCGGAGGGGGAGGGGCGCUCGGCACGACCCUCGCGCACGCGCGCGCGGCGCGCGGGCGGAGCGGAGGAAAGGAGAGAGAGAGAGAGAGAGCGCCCGGGAGAGAGGGGGCCGGGGGAGAGAUGGAGAUGGGCCGGGGGAGAGGGGAAGAUGGGCCGAGGGAAAAUCGGCCCAUCGACCCUGGGGGAGGCAAAAUGGACUUUUACGGAGGAAUUUGAUUUGGAGGGAUUGGAUUCGGAAUUGAACUCGACGAUAGAGCGGGGAUUGAGAUCAUGAGAUGGCACGGGCACUAGACAACAAUCAAAGAAACAACUUUCGCAAUUAGGGUUUUUAGGAGAUAAUUUUCCCGCUAGGCGCCACGACGGAACGGGCGCUACAGACCAACUCCCCUAACAAGAAUCUCGACCCCGAGAUUCAGCACCUAAGGGAGCAGCUCCGGGAACUCGGCGCGGAGAAGAUCUUCUCGCUCCCAGGUUGCCUCAUCUUCAGAAUGAUUGCUCCAUUGGACCUUGUAGAACUUGAUGGUCUUCCUUCGAGUCUGACGUUUUGCCUCUUCAAGAACCUUGAUCGGUCUUUCCUUGUACGUCAGAUUCUUUUCCAGCUCGAUAUUACCCAGGGGGACUUGCUCUUCUGGAACUCGAAGACAUUUCUUUAGCUGGGAUACGUGGAACACGUUGUGCACAUCUGCGAGACCUUCAGGUAACUCAAGCUGAUAAGCCACUUCGCCACGUCUGGCGGUUAUGAGGUAGGGGCCGAUGUAGCGGGGUGCUAACUUGCCGGACAUCCCAAACCUCCUCAUACCACGGAGGGGUGAUACCCGCAGGUAUACAUGAUCUCCUUUUUCGAACUCAAGGUCAUGCCUUCGAUUGUCAGCGUAAUUCUUCUGACGGUUCUGUGCUGUCUUCAAACGUUCUCGUAUCAGCUUAACUUGUUCUUCUGCUGACUUGAGUAUGUCAGGACCGAAUAUCAGCGCUUCGCCCACCUCAUUCCAGCAUAAGGGAGUGCGGCACUUUCUUCCGAACAUUGCCUCGUUCGGCGACAUCUGAAUGCUGGCCUGAUAGCUGUUGUUGUAUGAGAACUCAGCAUACGGCAAACAACGAUCCCAAGUGCCUUCGAAAUCCAGGGCACACGCACGUAGCAUGUCUUCUAGGAUUUGGUUUACCCUUUCUGUCUGACCAUCGGUCUGCGGAUGGUAGGCCGUACUAAAAUUUCAUUCUAUUCUAUUUGGACUUUGUGUCAAGAACCAUAUAAUAAGAGGUUGUAGCUGUGAUUGAAGUAAAGGCUAGGUUUAAUAUAUAUUAUAAAAAAAUACUGAGGAAAGGUGGUCCAAUAUGCAAUUUACUCUUAUUAUAUUGAUCCUAGUGGUUGUUUGGAAUAAUGAAGGCUUAGCAAACACGCAACGAGGAUGUGCUUAAUUUGCUGACAUAUCUCUUCCGUUCUUGAAUAUUGAUCUUUCGUUUUUCUUUCCUAGGGUGACCCACACCCACUAGGAAUCGAAAAACUCUGCACCUGCUGGUAUGCAUGAAUUAUUUAAAGUUGGCUACUUGGCCUUAUAGAAUUCUUUCAGACAGCAUGGAGAUGGAGAAAUUUCCCACCAAAUAUUGACCCAUACCCCACAUGAUUUGGAUGGAUCCCUUGAUCCGAUCACGAAUGCUUAGGUGGACUUUGUUUCUAAAUGUAGAAAUGUUAUUCAGUAACCAUUGUGGUUUGUUCCAUAAACUAAAUUAAGGUUGGGUUUUCUGAUGGCAUAAAAAUCAUCAUUUACAACUGAUUAAAUAUUUAAAAUUUAGUUGUUGAAACACUGAAAUUAUAUAUAUCUUCACAACAAGUUGCACCAAAUAAUAUUGUAUGUAUAUAAAAUACUAAUAAUACAGCCUAUAUGCCAAACUGAUCAGUUGAUCAAUCAAUUAAGGAACUAGUCCACCAAUCAAAGAUAAGACAUGCCUCGUCGGAUCGAUAUAAUCGCCUUAGCCGUCGAGCACAUGAGCAACGUGCUGCGUCCUCCAAUGACUACGAUUCAACGACGGCAACCCCCAAAAAAAAUAGGAGAAAAGAAAAAGAACACGUCGCAUGCAUUCAUGCAUGUACCAAACACAAAAUCAUUAACAAUUAAUCAAUUAAUAAAAAGAAAUGAGAGUGAGGCCAGGAGAGUUUUAUUUUAUCCUAAUUAAUCCGCUCUCGCCGAGCAGAGCCAAGCAUCAUGGCUACUUGCCAAGUUGCCAUGCAAAUUGUAGGAUUAAUAAUCGAUUUAUUUUGCUGACAUCUUGGGAGCUCAUCUGGCUAUAAAUAUAUACCUUGAUCGAUCGCGAGUAAUAUCGCAUCAGCAUUCAACGAACACACACACAAUCGGAAUCGAUUAAGAGAGCAAAUUGUGUAGUAGUGUUGCAUAUGGAGACACCAAAGAUAUCGGGAGUAGCACUUGCGGCAGCCAUUGCCGUCGUUCUGGCCAUGGCGACCACGCCGGCGGUGGCGCAGAACUCGCCGCAGGACUUCGUGGACCUCCACAACGCGGCGCGACGCGUGGAGGGCGUCGGCGAGGUGGUCUGGGACGACGCCGUGGCGGCGUACGCGGAGAACUACGCGGCGGAGCGCGCCGGCGACUGCGCGCUCAUCCACUCCGGCAGCUGGGAGAAGGCCGGCUACGGCGAGAACCUCUUCGGAGGCUCCGGCAGCGAGUGGACGGCAGCGGACGCCGUCAACAGCUGGGUGGGGGAGAAGGAUCUGUACGACUACGACAGCAACAGCUGCCUGGGGUCGUGGGACUCGUGCCUCCACUACACGCAGGUGAUGUGGAGCCGCACGACGGCGAUCGGCUGCGCCCGCGUGGACUGCGACAACGGCGGCGUCUUCAUCACCUGCAACUACAACCCCGCCGGCAACUUCCAGGGAGAGCGCCCCUUCGAGCGUGGCCUCACUCUCUCUGCUUAAUAAGUUAUUAAUACAGUAUUUACUUUAACUAUGUAUGGAGUAUGAUAUAAAUGUGCG
rnacentral:lncRNA from 1 species